UUUUGUUUGCUUGUGUUGCCAUGUGCCUUUUAUUUGCUUGCAUUUUAGUUUGCUAAAAAUCUAUUGAUAUGGAUCCUCGUCCACUUGCUAAUAUUUUUAAAAGAUCCUAUUAUUAUGAACCAGUUGCUAGUGAGUUGAGUGCACUAGAUUAUCAUUAUGAGGUUUUUCUUGAAAUUCAUGAAUUUGAAUAUUGUGAUGAAGUGUUGAAAGAAGAAACUUAUGAACUAAUUCACGAUAGAUCCUUGAAUGAAAAGCAUGAUUGCAAUGAUGUUACUAAAAAUUAUAUUAAUGUCAAUUGUGUUAAUGAUAUGCAAGACCCUAAGCUCGAGGAUGCUAAUUUUGCUAUGUCUACUACUUGUUGCAAUGAUCAUGAUUAGGGUGAUUCUUCUUAUGAUCUUGAAAAUUUAUUUAAGCCCCAUGAUGAAUAUGAGAUUGAUAAUAAUGUUUGCAAUAAUAUUGAAAGUGGGUUUGGAAGAGUGUCAACUUUAGACCCCACAUAUUUGGAGAAUUUUCAAUCUUAUGAAAUUUUUGAUAAAAGUGGGUUUGGAGAGGUCAUGACUUUAGUUAAUGUUGAUCCCACUAUUUUGGAAGAGCGUCAACUUCGCAUGCAUGCGGAUCGUGUUGAGAAUAUGUUAUCUGAUAGCUAUUUUGUUGAUUUUGCUUAUUAUCCUACAUGUAAUUAUUAUGAGAGAGGAAAAUAUGGUCGUAGAAAUUUUAUCUUCCUAAAUUACCUCUCUUCAUGUUGAGAUUGCUAUCAUCUCUUUCUUCUUCCUUGCAUGUGCUAGUUUUUGCUUGCCUUGAUAAAAAAAAUUCUUAUAAAAUGCCUAUGCAUAGGAAUUAUGUUAGACUUAGAUGUGUUUGUCACGUGUUUUAUGAUGCUCUCUUUGUGCUUCAAUUCUUCUCUUUUAUGUGAGCAUCAUUGAAAUUAUCAAUUCAUAGCUAAAAGGCUUUAAAUAAAAGCACUUGUUGGGAGACAACCCAAUAGUUUUCCUUGCUGUUUUGCAAUAAAUAAAUCAUCUAGCCUCUGGUUAGAUGUGGUUUUGUGUUUUAGUUAGUGUUUGUGCCAAGUAAGACCUUUGGGAUGGCUUACAGUGAUAGUUGUUUUGAUCAUGCUGAAAAACAGAAACUUUUGCGUCCAGGAAAAUAAUUUUCAUAAUUCACAUAAGCGUGUUUUUGAUCUGAUUCUUUUUGCACAUGAUUGUUACACAAAUUUCCCAGGUGUCCUAAUUUUUCAGAAUUUUUGGAGAUACAGAAGUAUUCGAAGUUUCAAGAUUACUGCAAACUAUUCUGUUUUUGAUAGAUUCUGUUUUCUAUGUGUUGUUUGCUUAUUUUGAUGAAUCUAUGGGUAGUUUAUGUCUACUAUGCAACUUUAUUAUUGUAGACAUGUGUUGGGUCUCCAAGCGCAGAGUUUUUUAGGACAGUAGCAAUUUUCCCUCAAGUGGAUGACCUAAGGUUUAUCAGUCUGUGGGAGGCGUAGGAUGAAGAUAGUCUCUCUCAAGCAACCCUACAAUCAAAUACAAGAAAUCUCUUGUGUCCCCAACACACCCAAUACAAUAUCAAAUUGUAUAGGUGCACUAGUUCAGCGAAGAGAUGGUGAUAAAAGUGUAGUAUGGAUAGUAGAUAUGAGUUUUUGUAGUGCGAACAAUAAAAAACAGCAAGGUAGCAAGUAGUAAAAUGGAGCACAAACGGUAUUGCAAUGAUAGAAAAUGAGGCCUAGGGUGCAUACUUUCACUAGUGCGAUAUCUAAACAAUGCUAACAUAGUUGGAUCAUAUAAGCAUCCCUCAAAGUGCGAUGAAGAAUCACUCCAAAGUUCCUAUCUAGCGGAGAACGUAAGACGGAAUUGUUUGUAGGGUACGAAACCACCUCAAAACUAUUCUUUCCGUUCGAUCUAUUCAAGAGUUCAUACUAAAAUAACACAAAGCUAUUCUUUCCGUUCGAUCUAUCCUAGAGUUCGUACUAAAAUAACACCAAAGCAAAUUUAGAUUUAUAAUAUUAAAUCCAACACAAAGAACUUCAAAGAGUGCCCCAAGAUUCCUAUUGGAGAAACAAAGACAAGAACGUGCAUCAACCCCUAUGCAUAGAUUACCCCAAUGUCACCUCGGUAAUCCACGAGUUGACUGCCAAAACAUAUAUCAAGUGAAUCAAUACGAUACCCCAUUGUCACCAUGAGUAUUCAAUUGCAAGAUAUAUAUCAAGUGUUCUCAAAUCCAUAAAAGUAUUCAAUCCAAUAACAACAAAAUCUCAAAAGGAAAAACUCAAUUCAUCACAAUAAGAUAGAGAGGGGGAAACACCAUAUGAUCCGGCUAUAUUAACAAAGCCCGCGAUAUAUCAAGAUCGUGACAUCUCAAGAACACGAGAGAGAGAGAGAGAGAGAUUAAACACAUAGCUACUGGUACAAACCCUCAGCUCCGAGGGUGGACUACUCCCUCCUCAUCGUGGUGGCCGCUGGGUGAUGAAGAUGGCCACCGGUGAUGAUUCCCCCCUCCGGCAGGGUGCCGGAACGGGGUCUAGAUUGGAUCUCGUGGAUACAGAGGCCUUGCGGCGGUGCAACUUCUGAUCUAGGGCUACUCCGAAGGGUUUUGGAAUAUUUGGAAAUUUAUAGGGCGAAGAGGCGGUCUAGGGGGCACCCGAGGUGGGCAGCACUCACCAGGGCACGCCUAGGUCUCUUAGCGCACCCUGGUGGGUGCUGCUCCCCUCGAGCAGCCCCCAGGUACUUCCUUGGCCCACUGCUUUCUUCUGGCCCAAAAAAAAUCCUCCAGGAGUUUCGUUGCGUUUGGACUCUAUUUGAUAUUGAUUUCUUGCGAUGUAAAAAACAAGCAAAAAACAACAACAGGCACUGGGCACUGGGUCAAUAGGUUAGUCCCAAAAAUGAUAUAAAGUUGCUAUAAAAUGAUUGUAAAACAUCCAAUAAUGAUAAUAUAAUGGCAUGAAUACUUCAUAAAUUAUAGAUACGUUGGAGACGUAUCAGUAGUAUUGGGGGGUAUGAACCAUGAAAAAGUUGGAAUACAGUAGAUAUUACACCAAUAUAAAUAAAGAAUGAGUUCACAACAGUACUAAAAGUGGCGGUUUAUUUUCUUAUACUAACAGAGCUUAUGAGAUUUUUCUGUUGAGUUUUGUGUUGUGAAGUUUUCAAGUUUUGGGUAAGGAUUUGAUGGACUAUGGGAUAAGGAGUGGCAAGAGCCUAAGUUGGGGAUGCCCAAGGCACCCCAAGGUAAUAUUCAAGGACAACCAAGAGCCUAAGCUUGGGGAUGCCCCAGAAGGCAUCCCCUCUUUCGUCUUCGUCUAUCGGUAACUUUACUUGAGGCUAUAUUUUUAUUCACCACAUGAUAUGUGUUUUGCUUGGAGCGUCUUGUAUGAUUUAAGUCUUUGUUGUUUAGUUUUCCACAAUCGUUCUUCCUGUACACACCUUUUGAGAGGGACACGCAUGAAUUGUGAUUUAUUAGAAUACUCUAUGUGCUUCACUUAUAUCUUUUGAGAUAGGCAAUAUUGCUCUAGUGCUUCACUUAUAUCUUUUUAGAACACGGCGCAGUCAUUUUGUUUUAUAGAAAUGGUUGAACUCUCAUGCUUCACUUAUAUUAUUUUGAGAGUCUCUAAACAGCAUGGUCAUUUGCUUUGGUUAUAAAAUUGGUCCUAAUAUGAUAGGCCUCCAAGAGGGAUAUAAUAAAACUUUCAUAUAAAGUGCAUUGAAUACUAUGAGAAGUUUGAUUCCUUAUGAUUGGUUUGAGAUAUAAAGAUGGUGAUAUUAGAGUCUUGCUAGUGAGUAAUUGUGGAUUGUAGAAAUACUUGUGUUAAAGUUUGUGAUUCCCAUAGCAUGCACGUAUGAUGAACCGUUAUGUGAUGAAGUCGGAGCAUGAUUUAUUUAUUGAUUGUGUUCCUUAUGAGUGGCAGUCGGGAACGAGCGAUGGUCUUUUCCUACCAAUCAUCCGAUUCGAGUUAAAUCAAUAUUUUUCAUUUGACUAGAUUCAAUAAAGAAAAAUAUAUUUCUCCUCUCCGGCGGGACUUCUAGAAGUUGUCUUCUCUCUCCGAAGUCGUCUUUUCUCUAUCUAAUAGGUACUUUUCUUCGUAAUUUUUUAUACUUCCAUAGCUUAUUAUUUUUAGACUAGUGUACGGUAGAAUAAUUAUAUUUAUAAAUUAGUCCAUGUAUUUACAUUUUAAGACUAGAAUUCUUUUAGCCAUAGCCCUUUUUCUUCCGUAAAACAGUUUGACCCUGAUUUUUCAAAUAGCCAUAACUUUUUACUCGUCUAUCCAAAUUAAACAAAACCAAUGCCAAUAUUUUCACCUUGAUUCCACUUAUGUAAUGAAUCUAUCAAAUAAACUUUUUACAACUUUCAAAUUUCGAAAUUUGUUCAGAUUCACACUCAAAUUUCUUUUGAUCAUAUCUUUUUAUCCGUACCUUCAUUUUCGAUAAAACCAACGCCUAAAUCUUCGUAACAAUCCCCUUUGUCUAGUAAACCAACUUAAACAUGCUUUUGACAAUUUAAAAUUUGAGUUUAGUUCAGAUUAGGAUUCGAUCUUGUUUCGUCUGUAACUUGAGUUUUAUAACUCUGUUUUAGUUGAUUCUUUUUGCAAAUCAAAGCUCUUGACCUAAAUUUUCUGAUAAGGCCAAAUCCACCUAAUUUUGGUACUGUUAGAAAUUAUUUUCUAUUGCAAGAGUUAAUUGCUUGUUUUCGAAGCUUUUGAAGAUCUUUUCUUCGAUUCUUUUGCAUGAUUACUUAUGUGUGGUUACUAUUGCUUGCUCAUGAUAGAUUGAAGAGAGUGUGACGAGUAGAUCUAUCACAAGUUAUGAGUGCAAUGAAUCUUCAUCAACAGUACAAGGCAAGUUCACACUUUCAUCAUAUCCCUUUAUUACCCAAUUUUUAUGCAUUAGUUUCAACCAUCAAACAUUGCAUGAGUAGGUUUGAUAACAUGUGGGUAUUCAGAAGUAGUUGAUGAGAUAAGAACCUAUCAUCUUUUAUCAAACCCAGGGUAUCAUACGUUAUGCUUGUACUAUUUUGCUAUGCUCGUAGACGUGGAUCGAUAUGAGAGAUUCAUGAAAGUUGAGAGAGAUAUGAUAACUAAGGGAAAAUUAAGGUGGCUACUUUAAUACACAUCUGGGUGGAAUGGUUGGGGCACCCUGGAGCACCCAGUGGUUCACCCGGGCACCUGGAGAACCCAUUGCUUGCCCAAGGGGAUCCCGGAGUAUGCAUGUGAUCAUCCUAUGGAAUGCCACCCAAGCUCAAAGGGAUCAUAUGAUAUUUCAUGCCUAGAAACUUCCGUGUGCAUUCACAAGCCAUUAUGGGCUCUAGCAUAGUUGAGUAAUUGUGUGAGCUCUUGAAGAGGUGGACUAGCAGAUGUAGGGGGAUUGUAGGUGUACUACUUCGCCCAGAGUAGAGAGUAAAUGCUUCUGAAAGACUGUGUCUCGGUCAUCCUGUUCUCAAACACUAGGCAAUACGAGGACUUCAAGGGAGGCGAUCGAGUCUUGUGGGGGAAAGUGCGCAACCUCUGCAGAGUGUACAAACUAAUCAUGAUUAGUUGUGUCCCCGGUUAUGGAGAAUUUUGAGUAUCUGGAAGUGGAUAUUAUUGUUGAUCUCAUCACUCUUAUUUAAUGUAUUGGGUUUAAUGAUUAAUUAUGGGAUUGAGUUGGGGGAACCUUCUCAAUAUUGGUAUAAACUUUGUAGUAAAUAAAAUUUAUUCCUUUGUUGUAGGGAAAAAUUAGCUUUAUGCAAAAAAAAUAAACUUAGAGCCUCCACCAGCCAAAUAUGCAUGUAGUGGUAGCUAUUAUUCAUCAUUAUCCUAUGGUGUGAAUUUGCCAGUGCAUUCAAUGUACUGACCUACAUGGCUGCAACGUCUCAUGUUGCAGGAAUCUUACGACGAGUAAGUGAUACGUUAGGGUUACGAUGUCUACACUCAACUUUGUUGUUGGUGUUGUUGGGACUCCACAACUUUGAUGUUACUUCCGCAAUAUGGAUUGAGGUAAUAGUAUUUACGUUACUUUAUACAUAUGAUUUACCUCUGUUAUAAAUCCUCGAGUAUUGUGUGUGUCAGCAUACCAAUCCAGGGAUAACACUUAAGCACAAAGACUUUGAUCCAUUCAGGUCGGGUCACUACAAGAUGGUAUUAGAGCACAUGUUGACUGUAGGAUGUGACCCCUAGAAAUUGGCAAGCCCAUUGGAAAGGAUUUCUCAAAAACUUUAUUUUCAAAGAGAUCCCUCAACUCUCAUCAUUUCUAAAGCUUUACCAAAUACUUUCCUCUCAUCUCAAAUAGUUAGACUAUACCCCUUUCCCUUUUCACCACACGAAGAUUCGACUUCGACUGAUGAGACCACUCCAAGGAGGACAAGAGAUCAGAAAACGGAGACCACUUCAGAACAAAGAGGAUUUUAUGGUGCAUUAGAAGUAUUGAAACUACAACAGUGGAAGACUCCGAAGACUAGGAGAAUUUGAAGGCUAUGAAGAAUUUCCAGAUUGGUAUGACCGAGGAAGGCUACCCUGAUAGAACUUGUCAGACUAUUGAAGUUGUCAAUACCCGAGAAUCAAGGUGUGCCGGAGAAAGACCGGAACAUGAAGCGUUAAAACUCGAAGUUUUUGUCAAGGACAACCCUAAGGCAGGAGAUCAACUAUGGAAUGAUAGCUCAUGGCAAUGACAAGGGCAGAAACACGGCUAUCCCUGAUGUUAUCGCCAGCUUGUGCUAUCGUCACCGUGCUAAGUUAAGCAUGCAUUUCUUUAGAAGGAUUGGAUGGUAGAAGGCUAAUGGAGCACCUAUCAACAAAAGAUGAAGUUUUAACCUUAGCUGGUGUAUCACCAGGAUCUGGAGUAUUACAUCAAGAAGUUUAGGGUGGAUCUUUAGGAAGCCGUAUUUGACAAGAAAGUAUUUCAUGAAGAACUCAGGACCCAGAAGCUGAACAUAGCCAAGUUGGAGGAGCAAAACCUCGAGGCACCAGAGAUUCGUCGGGAACUAAAGGACAGUAGGACCAUGGUUCAUGCCAAGGAUGUUGAAACCCAGAAGUUUGGAACGCAACUCCAGAAAUAUUGGAGUAUCAAACGAGCUCCAAAUGACAUGAAACUUGACAGGUGGUCUACCGGUGGUGUACCAAGGCCACAUGGCAAGCCUCGGUCCAUUUCGAGAAUGUUUAACACCCACUCACGAAAAGAGACAAGAGGGGUGCGCCGGUGCAUGUCGGAGUGUCAGAUUGCAAAAUGGACAACAGGGAAAAUGCUCGGAUGCAUGAGACGAACACGUAUGCAAAAGAGAUGCACAUGAUGACAUGAUAUGAGAUGCAUGACAUGAACAAAAUGCAAAACGAAAUACAAAAACCCAACCACGGAGGGAAUAUCAUAAAACAUAGCCGAAAAUGGCAAGAGUUGGAGUUACAAAUAUGGAAAGUUACAUCCGGGGUGUUACAACACUCCACCACUACAAGAGGAUCUCGUCCUGAGAUCUAGGACUGAAAGAACUCCAGAUAUUCGAACGGAGGUGAUCCUCGCACUCCCAGGUGGCUUCUCGGUCGGAAUGGUGUGAUCACUUCACUUUCAGGAAUUUGAUUGACUCGCUCGACUUGGCCACUUGUUUGAGGAUGGAAAGUUGUGCUGAAACGAAUAUUGGUGCCCAUGGCCUUCUGAAAGGAGUCCCAGAACUUAGAGGUGAAAAUGCUUCCACGGUCUGAAGAAAUCAAUUGAGGAAUGCCGUGCAAGGAGACAAUUCUGGAGGUGUGUAGCUCUGCCAACUGAGCUGCUUUGAUAGAUUCUUUGAUAGGAAGAAAAUGAGCCACUUUUGUAAGCUUGUCAAUGACAACGAACAUAGCAUCAUUUCCACGCUUGGACUUAGGAAAUCCAGUCACGAAGUCCAUCUUGAUGUGAUCAAACUUCCAUUCUGGAAUAGCAAGAGGUUGGAGGAGACCAGCUGGUCUUUGGUGUUCUGCUUUCACCCUUCUGCAGACGUCACAUUUGUUCACGAAUUGAGCAAUUUCUCGCUUCAUUCGAGUCCACCAAUACGACUGCUUGAGGUCAUGGUACAUCUUACCAACUUGUACCACCCACGAUGCGGCUAUAUCUCCCACGUGUCGAAGCACGACUUAGAGGCAUAACCGCAUGGUGGUUUUGUCGCAAAAAGGGUCAUCUUCACACAAUCCCAUGUAAUGAAUAAGAAUGGGAUAAACAAAGUUGGCUUACAAUCGCCACUUCACACAAUACAUAAGUAAAUUCAUACAUCAUCCAAAAUACACUCAUAGACCGACUACGGUCAAAUCCAAAUGAAAAGAAGAUAACCCCAAAUGCUAGAUCCCCGAUCGUCCCAACUGGGCUCCACUACUGAUCAUCUGGAAACGAAACAUAGUAAUGACCAAAGUCCUCAUCAAACUCCCACUUGAGCUCGGUUGCGCCACUUGCACUGGUAUCCUUGGCACCUGCAUCUGCUUUGGUAGAAUUUGUGAGUCACGAGGACUCAGCAAUCUCACACCUGCGAGAUCAAGACUAUAUAAGCUUGUAGGUAGGAAAGGGGUAAUAUGGUGGAGUUGCAGCAAGCACUAAGCAAAUAUGGUGGCUAACAUACGCAAGUGAGAGCGAGAAGAGAAGCAACGCAUCGGUCGAGAAGCUAGAAGUGAUCCUGAAACUACUUACGUUCAUACAUAACCCAAACCAUGUUCACUUCCUGGACUCCGCCGAGAAGAGACCAUCACGGCUACACACGCGGUUGAUGCAUUUUAAUGAAGUCAAGUGUCAAGUUCUCUACAACCAGACAUUAACAAAUUCCCAUCUGCCACAUAACCGUGGGCAUGGCUUUCGAAAGUUUAUACCCUGCAGGGGUGUCCCAACUUAGCCCAUCACAAUCUCUCACGGUCAAUGAAGGAUAUACCUUCUCCCGGGAAGACCCGAUCAGCCUCGGAAUCCCGGUUUACAAGACAUUUCAACAAUGGUAAAACAAGAACAACAAAGCAGCCCGAUGUGCCGAAAAAUCUCAAUAGGAGCUGCAGAUAUCUCGUUCUCAGGGCACAACGGAUAGGUCAGCCUACGAGUAAGACCAGCCCUCGAGUUGCCCCGUGGUGGCCCCGCGGUCUGCCCGGUUCAGACCAGCACUUAGAGAAGCACUGGCCCGGGGGGGCUAAAAUAAAGACGACCCUUGGGUUGGCCGACCCAAGGGAAAGGUAUAGGUGGUGGUGAGGCAAAUGGUAAAACCAAGGUUGGGCCUUGCUGGAGGAGUUUUAUUCAAAGCGAACUGUCAAGGGGGUCCCAUAAAUCACCCAACCGCGUAAGGAACGCAAAAUCCGGGAACAUAACACUGGUAUGACGGAAACUAGGGCGGCAAGAGUGGAACAAAACACCAGGCAUAAGGCCGAGUCUUCCACCCUUUACCAAGUAUAUAGAUGCAUUAAUUAAAUAAGAGAUAUUGUGAUAUCCCAACAUAAUCCUGUCCACCAUGGAGCAAUCUUCAACUUCACCUGCAACUAACAAUGCUAUAAGAGGGGCUGAGCAAAAGCGGUAACAUAGCCAAACAACGGUUUGCUAGGAAGGGUGAAAAAGGUUAGAGGCUGACAUGUCAAAUUGGGAGGCUUGAAGAACAAGUGAUAGGUAGCGUAGCAUAGUGAUAGAACGAAGCAACUAGCAUAGCAAUGAUAGUUGUGACAUCCAGGGUAGCGGUCAUCUUGCCUGAAAUCCCGCUAGGAAGAAGAACGAGUGCAUGAAGAAGACGAACAGGCGUAGUCGAGCGAAUCCUCACAAUCGCAACGUUACCGGAACUAUCAAGAAGAAGCAACAUCGGAAAGAAGCAGACAACAUGGUAAACACACCAGCAUAAUCAUGGCAUGAUGCACAAUCAAGUAUGAUGCAUGUCCGAUUUAAUGAGGCAACGCAUGGCAAAGAUUAACAAACAACACUACAAGUUAAGUGGAGCUCAAUAUGCAACGAGUUGCAUAUUGACGAAACACCACAUCAAUUAUUUAGUUCUCUCUCGUUUACUAAUACAACAGUAUUACAUGUUAUUAAACAUGGCAAGAGGUGAAGCAUAAGUAAACUAACUAUUUAGGCAAGUUUAAAUGAGGCCGGAACAACAAACAACAAUUCCGGAAAUUCCCCACAAGUAAUAUUCAAAUUUUGUAUUGUUCUGCCCUAAAUCAUAUUUCAUUUUUUUAAGCAGGAAAAUAAAGUGCACCGUGUUAAACUAGGCAUUUUUUCCACCCCAUUUACAUAUAAAGUUUAUUAAAUUUGGAGCUACGGUUAAAUAGUUAUGGAAUAAAUCAUUUUAACAUGGCAUUUGAGCAAAUUUAAACAAACAACAUUUUAAACAUUUUAAACAUGGAUGAAAGUGGCAUAUUAUUAAUCUACACAAAAUUCUAAGCAUUUUACAUGUUUAAAUCAUUUUAAUCUGAUGCAUGGUUAAUGAGUUAUUAUAUGCAUGAAGACUAGGGACUUUUCUGUAAAACCGUAAUUCGCUGGAUAAUAGAGAAAAUCACAGCGCAGGGAAAAAAACUACGCGGGCCGAAUCUGAUUGGCCCAACAGUGCACAGGGCAAAUAGAGGCUGGGCUGAGGCUCACCAGAGGGCCUUGGGCCAGCGGGUCUAGUGGGCUGGAGGGCUGAAGGGGCGCGGCUGGGCCUUGAGGCGCUGCGGCUGGCGCGGAGGACGGGCGGCGGAGAGCGAGGCGACAGGGCCGCGNNNNNNNNNNNNNNNNNNNNNNNNNNNNNNNNNNNNNNNNNNNNNNNNNNNNNNNNNNNNNNNNNNNNNNNNNNNNNNNNNNNNNNNNNNNNNNNNNNNNNNNNNNNNNNNNNNNNNNNNNNNNNNNNNNNNNNNNNNNNNNNNNNNNNNNNNNNNNNNNNNNNNNNNNNNNNNNNNNNNNNNNNNNNNNNNNNNNNNNNNNNNNNNNNNNNNNNNNNNNNNNNNNNNNNNNNNNNNNNNNNNNNNNNNNNNNNNNNNNNNNNNNNNNNNNNNNNNNNNNNNNNNNNNNNNNNNNNNNNNNNNNNNNNNNNNNNNNNNNNNNNNNNNNNNNNNNNNNNNNNNNNNNNNNNNNNNNNNNNNNNNNNNNNNNNNNNNNNNNNNNNNNNNNNNNNNNNNNNNNNNNNNNNNGGGGGCGGCUGCGGGUUCGACGGGCCGGGGCGGCGCACGGUGGCCGGGUGCCACAUGUCGCACCCUGGUUCGCCGGGCAGCGGCGGCGCAGGUGUCCGUCCCGGGGCGGACACGUCCGGCGGCGCGGAGGGAGGUUUGCUAGGGUUGGACUGCGAAAAAUCCGGGGGGGAGCACAUAUUUAUAGGUAGAGGGAGCUAGGAGACUCCAAAUGGAGUGUAGUUUUCGCCCACACGAUCGUGAUCCGACGACGGAGAGCAUGGAAGUGACUUAGAUGGGUUAUUGGGCUGUUUUGGAGGGAUGUUGGACUGCAACCCAAAAGAGGCCUUUGCGGUUAGCCGGUUAACCGUUGGAGUAUCAAACGAGCUCCAAAUGACAUGAAACUUGACAGGUGGUCUACCGGUGGUGUACCAAGGUCACUUGUCAAGCCUCGGUCCAUUACGAGAACGUUUAACACCCACUCACGAGAAGAGACAAGAGGGGUGCGCCGGUGCAUGUGGGAGUGUCAGAUUGCAAAACCGAAAACGGGGAAAAUGCUCAGAUGCAUGAGACGAACACGUAUGCAAAAGAGAUGCACAUGAUGACAUGAUAUGAGAUGCAUGACAUGAACAAAAUGCAAAACGAAAGACAAAAACCCAACCACGGAGGGAAUAUCAUAACGCAUAGCCGAAAAUGGCAAGAGUUGGAGUUACAAAUAUGGAAAGUUACAUCCGGGGUGUUACAACACUCCACCACUACAAGAGGAUCUCGUCCUGAGAUCUAGGACUGAAAGAACUCCGGAUAUUCAGAAUGGAGGUGAUCCUCGCGCUCCCAGGUGGCUUCUCGGUCGGCAUGGUGUGACCACUUCACUUUCAGGAAUUUGAUUGACUCGCUCGACUUGGCCACUUGUUUGAGGAUGGAAAGGUGUGCUGAAACGAAUGUUGGUGCCAUGGCCUUCUGAAAGGAGUCCCAGAACUUAGAGGUGAAAAUGUUUCCACGGUCUAAAGAACUCAAUUGAGGAAUGUCGUGCCAGGAGAAAAUUCUGGAGGUGUAUAGCUCUGCCAACUGUGCUGAUGUGAUAGAUUCUUUGAUAGGAAGAAAAUGAGCCACUUUUGUAAGCUUGUCAAUGACAACGAAGAUAGCAUCAUUUCCACGCUUGGACUUAGGAAAUCCAGUCACGAAGUCCAUCUCGAUGUGAUCAAACUUCCAUUCUAGAAUAGCAAGAGGUUGGAGGAGACCAGCUAGUCUUUGGUGUUCUGCUUUCACCCUUCUGCAGACGUCACAUUCAUUCAUGAAUUGAGCAAUUUCUCGCUUCAUUCGAGUCCAGAAAUACGACUGCUUGAGGUCAUGCUACAUCUUACCAACUUGUAACACCCAUGAUGCGGCUAUAUCUCCCACGUGUCGAAGCACGACUUAGAGGCAUAACCGCAUGGUGGUUUUGUUGCAAGAAGGGUCAUCUUCGCACAAUCCCAUGUAAUGAACAAGAAUGGGAUAAAGAGAGUUGGCUUACAAUCUCCACUUCACACAAUACAUAAGUAAAUUCAUACAUCAUCCAAAAUACACUCAUAGACCGACUACGGUCAAAUCCAAAAGAAAAGAAGAUAACCCCAAAUGCUAGAUCCCCGAUCGUCCCAACUGGGCUCCACUACUGAUCAUCUGGAAACGAAACAUAAUAAUGACCAAAGUCCUCAUCAAACUCCCACUUGAGCUCGGUUGUGCCACUUGCACUGGUAUCCUUGGCACCUGCAUCUGCUUUGGUAGAAUUUGUGAGUCACGAGGACUCAGCAAUCUCACACCCACGACAUCAAGACUAUAUAAGCUUGUAGGUAGGAAAGGGGUAAUGUGGUGGAGCUGCAGCAAGCACUAAGCAAAUAUGGUGGCUAACAUACGCAACUGAGAGCGAGAAGAGAAGCAACGCAUCGGUCGAGAAGCUAGAAGUGAUCAUGAAGUGAUCCUGAAACUACUUACGUUCAUACAUAACCCACACCGUGUUCACUUCCCGGACUCCGCCGAGAAGAGACCAUCACGGCUACACACGCGGUUGAUGCAUUUUAAUGAAGUCAAGUGUCAAGUUCUCUACAACCAGACAUUAACAAAUUCCCAUCUGCCACAUAACCGUGGGCAUGGCUUUCGAAAGUUUAUACCCUGCAGGGGUGUCCCAACUUAGCCCAUCACAAGCUCUCACGGUCAACGAAGGAUAUACCUUCUCCCGGGAAGACCCGAUCAGCCUCGGAAUCCCGGUUUACAAGACAUUUCAACAAUGGUAAAACAAGAGCAGCAAAGCCGCCCGAUGUGCCGACAAAUCCCGAUAGGAGCUGCACAUAUCUCGUUCUCAGGGCACAACGGAUAGGUCAGCCUACGAGCAAAACCAGCCCUCGAGUUGCCCCGUGGUGGCCCCGUGGUCUGCCCGGUUCGGACCAGCACUUAGAAAAGCACUGGCCCGGGGGGGCUAAAAUAAAGACGACCCUUGGGUUGGCCGACCCAAGGGAAAGGUAUAGGUGGUGGUGAGGCAAAUGGUAAAACGAAGGUUGGGCCUUGCUGGAGGAGUUUUAUUCAAAGCGAACUGUCAAGGGGGUCCCAUAAAUCACCCAACCGCGUAAGGAAUGCAAAAUCCGGGAACAUAACACUGGUAUGACGGAAACUAGGGCGGCAAGAGUGGAACAAAACACCAGGCAUAAGGCCGAGUCUUCCACCCUUUACCAAGUAUAUAGAUGUAUUAAUUAAAUAAGAGAUAUUGUGAUAUCCCAACAUAAUCUUGUCCACCAUGGAGCAAUCUUCAACUUCACCUGCAACUAACAAUGCUAUAAGAGGGGCUGAGCAAAAGCGGUAACAUAGCCAAACAACGGUUUGCUAGGAAGGGUGAAAAAGGUUAGAGGCUGACAUGUCAAAUUGGGAGGCUUGAAGAACAAGUGAUAGGUAGCGUAGCAUAGCGAUAGAAUGAAGCAACUAGCAUAGCAAUGAUAGUAGUGACAUCCAGGGUAGCGGUCAUCUUGCCUGAAAUCCCGCUAGGAAGAAGAACGAGUGCAUGAAGAAGACGAACAGGCGUAGUCGAGCGAAUCCUCACAAUCGCAACGUUACCGGAACUAUCAAGAAGAAGCAACAUCGGAAAGAAGCAGACAACAUGGUAAAUACACCAGCAUAAUCAUGGCAUGAUGCACAAUCAAGUAUGAUGCAUGUCUGGUUUCAUGAGGCAAGGCAUGGCAAAGUUUAACAAACAAUACUACAAGUUAAGUGGAGCUCAAUAUGCAACGAGUUGCAUACUGACGAUACACCACAUCAAUUAUUUAGUUCUCUCUCGUUUACUAAUACAACAAUAUUACAUGUUAUUAAACAUCGCAAGAGGUGAAGCAUAAGUAAACUAACUAUUUAGGCAAGUUUAAAUGAGGCCGGAACAACAAACAACAAUUCCGGAAAUUCCCCACAAGUAAUAUUCGAAUUUGGUACUGUUCUGCCCUAAAUCAUAUUUCAUUGUUUUUAAGCAGGAAAAUAAAGUGCACCAUGUUAAACUAGGCAUUUUUCCACCCCAUUUACAUAUAAAGUUUAUUAAAUUUGGAGCUACGGUUAAAUAGUUAUGGAAUAAAUCAUUUUAACAUGGCAUUUGAGCAAAUUUAAACAAACAACAAUUUAAACAUUUUAAACAUGGAUGAAAGUGGCAUAUUAUUAAUCUACACAAAAUUAUAAGCAUUUUACAUGUUUAGAUCAUUUUAAUCCAAUGCACGGUUAAUGAGUUAUUUUAUGCAUGAAGACUAGGGACUUUUGUGUAAAACUGUAAUUCGCUGGAUAAUAGAGAAAAUCACAGAGCAGGGAAAAAAACUACGCGGGCCUAAUCUGAUUGGCCCAACAGUGCACAGGGCAAACAGUGGCUGGGUUGAGGCUCACCAGAGGGCCUUGGGCCAGCGGAUCUGGUGGGCUGGAGGGCUGAAGGGGCGCGGCUGGGCCUUGAGGCGCUGCGGUUGGCGCGGAGGACGGGCGGCGGAGAGCGAGGCGACGGGCUGCGGGGGCCGGCUGCGGGCUCGGCGGGCCGGGGCGACGCACGGUGGCAAGGUGCCACGUGUCGCGCCCUCGUUCGCCGGGCGGCGGCGGCACGGGUGUCCGGCCCAGGACGGACACGUCCGGCGGCGUGGGUGUCCGGCCCGGGAUGGACACGUCCGGCGGCGCGGAGGGAGGUUUGCUAGGGUGUGACUGCGAAAAAUCCGGGGGGGGCACAUAUUUACAGGUAGAGGGAGCUAGGAGACUCCAAAUGGAGUGUAGUUUUCGCCCACACAGUCGUGAUCCGACGACGGAGAGCAUGGAAGUGACUUAGAUGGGUUAUUGGGCUGUUUUGGAGGGGUGUUGGACUGCAACCCAAAAGAGGCCUUUGUAGUUACCCGGUUAACCGUUGGAGUAUCAAACGAGCUCCAAAUGACACGAAACUUGACAGGUGGUCUACCGGUGGUGUACCAAGGCCACUUGGCAAGCGUCGGUCCAUUCCAAGAAAGUUUAAAACCCACUCACAAAAAGAGACAAGAGGGGUGCGCCGGUGCAUGUGGGAGUUUCGGAUUGCAAAACGGACAACGGGGAAAAUGCUCGGAUGCAUGAGACGAACACGUAUGCAAAAGAGAUGCACAUGAUGACAUGAUAUGAGAUGCAUGACAUGAACAAAAUGCAAAACGAAAGACAAAAACCCAACCACGGAGGGAAUAUCAUAACACAUAGCCGAAAAUGGCAAGAGUUGGAGUUACAAAUAUGGAAAGUUACAUCCGGGGUGUUACAACAAGAGUUGAUCUACCACGAGAUCGUAGAGGCUAAACCCUAGAAGCUAGCCUAUGAUUAUGAUUGUUCUUGUCCUAUGGACUAAACCCUCCGGUUUAUAUAGACACCUGAGGGGGCUAGGGUUACACAGAGUCGGUUACAAAGAAGGAGAUCUAUCAUCUGUUGGGGAACGUUGCAGAAAAUAAAAAAAUUCUACGCUUCACCAAGAUCAAUCUAUGGAGUCAUCUAGCAACGAGAUAGAGGAGUGCAUCUACAUACCCUUGUAGAUCACGAGCGGAAGCAUCCAAGAGAACGGGGUUGAGGGAGUCGUACUCGUCGGGAUCCAAAUCACCGAAGAUCCUAGUGCUGAACGGACAGCACCUCCACGUUCAACACACGUACGGUUGGGGAAGACGUCUCCUCCUUCUUGAUCCAGCAAGGGGGAAGGAGAGGUUGAUGGAGAUCCAGCAGCACGACGGCGUGGUGGUAGAAGUAGCGGCGAUCUCGGCAGGGCUUCGCCAAGCUCAGCGAGAGGGAGAGGUGGUACGUGGGGAGAGGGAGGCGCUAGGGACUAGGGUACGGCUGCCCUCCCUCCUCCCCUCUUUAUAUAGGGGCCUAGGGGGUGCAUCGGCCCCCUAGAUAUCCCAUCUCAAGGGGGGCGGCGGCCUAGGGGGGACUUGCCCCCCAAGUCAAGUGGGGCGCCCCCCACCCCUAGGGUUUCCAACCCUAGGCGCAGGGGAGGCCCAAGGGGGGGCGCACCAGCCCACCAGGGGCUGGUUCCCUUCCCUCUUCAGCCCACGGGGACCUUUGGGAUAGGUGGCCUCACCCGGUGGACCGAAACUAUUGAGGAACGUAGUAAUUUCAAAAAAAUUCCUACGCACACGCAAGAUCAUGGAGAUGCAUAGCAACGAGACGGGAGAGUAUUGUCCACAUACCCUCGUAGACCGAAAGCGGAAGCGUUAUGACAACGCGGUUGAUGUAGUCGUACGUCUUCACGAUCCGACCGAUCCAAGUACCGAACAUACGGCACCUCCGAGUUCAGCACACAUUCAGCUUGAUGACGAUCCACGGACUCCGAUCCAGCAGGGUGUCGGGGAUGAGUUCUGUCAGCAUGAUGGUGUGGUGACGAUGAUGAUGUUCUACCGACGCAGGGCUUCGCCUAAGCACCGCAAUGAUAUGACCGAGGUGGAAUAUGGUGGAGAGGGGCACCGCACACGGCUAAGGAAUGAUCACGAAGAUCAACUUCUGUGUUAUGGGGUGCCCCCCUGCCCCCGUAUAUAAAGGAGGGAGGGGGGAGGUGCGGCCGGCCCCUAGGGGUGCGCCUCGAGGAGUCCUACUCCCACCGGGAGUAGGACUCCCCCCUCUUGCCUUGUAGGAGAAGGAAAGGGGGAAGGGGAAAGAGGAAAGCCCCCCCCCAUUCCUUGUCCUAUUCGGACUAGGGGGGAGGGGGCGCGCGGCCUGCCCUGGCUGGCCCUCCUCUUCUCCCUUAGGCCCAUGUAGGCCCAUUAACCCCCGGGGGGGUUCCGGCAACCCCCUGGUACUCCGGUAAAAUCCCGAUUUCACCCGGAACGAUUCCGAUAUCCAAAUAUAGGCUUCCAAUAUAUCAAUCUUUAUGUCUCGGCCAUUUCGAGACUCCUCAUCAUGUCCGUGAUCAUAUCCGGGACUUUGAACAACCUUCGGUACAUCAAAACUUUUAAACUCAUAAUAAAACUAUCAUCGUAACGUUAAGCGUGCGGACCCUACGGGUUCGAGAACUAUGUAGACAUGACCUAGAAUUGUUUCCGGUCAAUAACCAAUAGCGGAACCUGGAUGUUCAUAUUGGCUCCUACAUAUUCUACGAAGAUCUUUAUUGGUCAGACCGCAUAACAACAUACGUUGUUCCCUUUGUCAUUGGUAUGUUACUUGCCCAAGAUUCAAUCGUCGGUAUCUCAAUACCUAGUUCAAUCUCGUUACCGGCAAGUCUCUUUACUCGUUUUGUAAUACAUCAUCUCACAACUCAUUAGUUGCAAUGCUUGCAAGGCUUAAGUGAUGUGCAUUACCAAGAGGGCCCAAAGAUACCUCUUCAACUAUCGGAGUGACAAAUCCUAAUCUCAAAAUACGCCAACCCAACAAGUACCUUUGGAGACACCUGUAGAGCACCUUUAUAAUCACCCAGUUACGUUGUGAUGUUUGGUAGCACACAAAGUGUUCCUCAGGUAAACGGGAGUUGCAUAAUCUCAUAGUCAUAGGAACAUGUAUAAGUCAUGAAGAAAGCAAUAGCAGAAAACUAAACGAUCAAGUGCUAAGCUAACGGAAUGGGUCAAGUCAAUCACAUCAUUCUCCUAAUGAUGUGAUCCCGUUAAUCAAAUGACAACACAUGUCUAUGGUCGGGAAACAUAACCAUCUUUGAUCAACGAGCUAGUCAAGUAGAGGCAUACUAGUGACACUCUGUUUGUCUAUGUAUUCACACAAGUAUUAUGUUUCCAGUUAAUACAAUUCUAGCAUGAAUAAUAAACAUUUAUCAUGAUAUAAGGAAAUAAAUAAUAACUCUAUUAUUGCCUCUAGGGCAUAUUUCCUUCAGUCUCCCACUUGCACUAGAGUCAAUAAUCUAGAUUACACAGUAAUGAUUCUAACACCCAUGGAGUCUUGGUGUUGAUCAUGUUUUGCUCGUGGAAGAGGCUUAGUCAACGGGUCUGCAACAUUCAGAUCCGUAUGUAUCUUGCAAAUUUCUAUGUCUCCCACCUGGACUAGAUCCCGGAUGGAAUUGAAGUGUCUCUUGAUGUGCUUGGUUCUCUUGUGAAAUCUGGAUUCCUUCGCUAAGGCAAUUGCUCCAGUAUUGUCACAAAAUAUUUUCAUUGGACCCGAUGCACUAGGUAUGACACCUAGAUCGGAUAUGAACUCCUUCAUCCAGACUCCUUCAUUUGUUGCUUCCGAAGCAGCUAUGUAUUCCGCUUCACACGUAGAUCCCGCCACGACGCUUUGUUUAGAACUGCACCAAGUGACAGCUCCACCGUUCAAUGUAAACACGUAUCUGGUUUGCGAUUUAGAAUCGUCCGACUCAGUGUCAAAGCUUGCAUCAACGUAACCAUUUACGAUGAGCUCUUUGUCACCUCCAUAUAUGAGAAACAUGUCCUUAGUCCUUUUCAGGUAUUUUAGGAUGUUCUUGACCGCUGUCAAGUGAUCCACUCCUGGAUUACUUUGGUACCUCCCUGCUAGACUUAUAGCAAGGCACACAUCAGGUCUGGCACACAGCAUUGCAUACAUGAUAGAGCCUAUGGCUGAAGCAUAGGGAACAUCUUUCAUCUUCACUCUAUCUUCUGCAGUGAUCGGGCUUUGAGUCUUACUCAACUUCACACCUUAUAACACAGGCAAGAACCCUUUGUUUGCUUGAUCCAUUUUGAACUUCUUCAAAACUUUGUCAAGGUAUGUGCUUCGUGAAAGUCCAAUUAAGCGUCUUGAUCUAUCUCUAUAGAUCUUAAUGCCCAAUAUGUAAGCAGCUUCACCGAGGUCUUUCAUUGAAAAACACUUAUUCAAGUAUCCUUUUAUGCUAUCCAGAAAUUCUAUAUCAUUUCCGAUCAGCAAUAUGUCAUCUACAUAUAGUAUCAGAAAUGCUACAGAGAUCCCACUCACUUUCUUGUAAAUACAAGCUUCUCCAAAAGUCUGUAUAAAACCAAAUGCUUUGAUCACACUAUCAAAGCAUUUGUUCCAACUCCGAGAGGCUUGCACCAGUCCAUAAAUGGAUCGCUGGAGCUUGCACACUUUGUUAGCUCCCUUUGGAUCGACAAAACCUUCCGGUUGCAUCAUAUACAACUCUUCUUCUGGAAAACCAUUCAGGAAUGCAGUUUUGACAUCCAUCUGCCAUAUUUCAUAAUCAUAAAAUGCGGCAACUGCUAACAUGAUUCGGACAGACUUAAGCAUCUCUAUGGGUGAGAAGGUCUCAUCGUAGUCAACCCCUUGAACUUGUCGAAAACUUUUCGCACAAGUCGAGCUUUGUAGACAGUAACAUUACCGUCAGCGUCAGUCUUCUUCUUGAAGAUCCAUUUAUUUUCAAUUGCUUGCCAAUCAUUGGGCAAGUCAACCAAAGUCCAUACUUUGUUUUCAUACAUGGAUCCCAUCUCAUAUUUCAUGGCCUCAAGCCAUUUUUCAGAAUCUGGGCUCACCAUCGCUUCUUCAUAGUUCAUAGGUUCAUCAUGGUCUAGUAACAUGACUUCCAAAACAGGAUUACCGUACCACUUUGGUGCGGAUUUUAUUCUGGUUGAUCUACGAGGUUCAGUAACAACUUGAUCUGAAGUUCCAUGAUCAUCAUCAUUAACUUCCUCACUAAUUGGUGUAGGUGUCACAGGAACAGAUUUCUGUGAUGAACUACUUUCCAAUAAGGGAGCAGGUACAGUUACCUCAUCAAGUUCUACUUUCCUCCCACUCACUUCUUUCGAGAGAAACUCCUUCUCCAGAAAGUUUCCGAACUUAGCUACAAAUGUUUUGCCUUCAGAUCUGUGAUAGAAGGUGUACCCAAUGGUCUCCUUUGGGUAUCCUAUGAAGACACAUUUCUCCGAUUUGGGUUCGAGCUUAUCAGGUUGAAGAUUUUUCACAUAAGCAUCACAGCCCCAAACUUUCAGAAACGACAACUUCGGUUUCUUGCUAAACCACAGUUCAUAAGGCGUCGUCUCAACAGAUUUUGAUGGUGCCCUAUUUAACGUGAAUGCGGCCAUCUCUAAAGCAUAACCCCAAAAUGAUAGUGGUAAAUCUGUAAGAGACAUCAUAGAUCGCACCAUAUCUAGUAAAGUACGAUUACGAUGUUCGGACACACCAUUACGAUGUGGUCUUCCGGGUGGCGUUAGUUGUGAAACUAUUCCGCAUUGUUUCAAAUGUAGACCAAACUCGUAACUCAAAUAUUCUCCUCCACGAUCUGAACCUAGAAACUUUAUUUUCUUGUUAUGAUGAUUUUCAACUUCACUCUGAAAUUCCUUGAACUUUUCAAAUGUUUCAGACUUAUGCUUCAUUACGUAGAUAUAACCAUAUCUGCUCAAAUCAUCUGUGAAGGUGAGAAAAUAACGAUAUCCGCCACGAGCCUCAACAUUCAUCGGACCACAUACAUCUGUAUGUAUGAUCUCCAAUAAAUUAGUUGCUCUCUCCAUACUACCGUAGAACGGUGUUUUAGUCAUCUUGCCCAUGAGGCACGGUUCGCAAGUACCAAGUGAUUCAUAAUCAAGUUGUUCCAAAAGUCCAUCAGUAUGGAGUUUCUUCAUGCGCUUUACACCGAUAUGACCUAAACGGCAGUGCCACAAAUAAGUUGCACUAUCAUUAUCAACUCUGCAUCAUUUGGCUUCAACAUUAUGAAUAUGUGUAUCACUACUAUCGAGAUUCAAUAAAAAUAGACCACUCUUCAAGGGUGCAUGACCAUAAAAGAUAUUACUCAUAUAAAUAGAACAACCAUUAUUCUCUGAUUUAAAUGAAUAAUCGUCUCGCAUCAAACAAGAUCCAGAUAUAAUGUUCAUGCUCAACGCUGGCACCAAAUAACAAUUAUUUAGGUCUAAAACUAAUCCCAAAGGCAGAUGUAGAGGUAGCGUGUCGACCGCGAUCACAUCGACUUUGGAACCAUUUCCCACAUGCAUCGUCACCUUGUCCUUAGCUAAUCUUCGCUUAAUCCGUAGUCCCUAUUUCGAGUUGCAAAUAUUAGCAACAGAACCAGUAUCAAAUACCCAGGUGCUACUGCGAGCAUUAGUAAGGUACACAUCAAGAACAUGUAUAUCACAUAUAACUUUGUUCACCUUGCCAUCCUUCUUAUCCGCCAAAUACUUGGGGCAGUUCCGCUUCCAGUGACCAGUCUGUUUGCAGUAGAAGCACUCAGUUUCAGGCUUAGGUCCAGACUUAGGUUUCUUCUCCUGAGCAGCAACAUGUUUGUUGUUCUUCUUGAAGUUUCCCUUCUUCUUCCCUUUGCCCUUUUUCUUGAAACUAGUGGUCUUGUUAACCAUCAACACUUGAUUCUCCUUCUUGAUUUCUACCUCCGCAGCUUUUAGCAUUGCGAAGAGCUCGGGAAUAGUCUUUUCCAUUCCUUGCAUAUUACAGUUCAUCACAAAGCUCUUGUAGCUUGGUGGCGGUGAUUGGAGAAUUCUGUCAAUGACGCUAUCAUCCGGAAGAUUAACUCCCAGUUGAAUCAGGUGAUUAUUAUACCCAGACAUUUUGAGUAUAUGCUCACUGACAGAACUGUUCUCCUCCAUCUUGCAGCUGUAGAACUUAUUGGAGACUUCAUAUCUCUCAAUCCGGGCAUUUGCUUGAAAUAUUAACUUCAACUCCUGGAACAUCUCAUAUGCUCCAUGACGUUCAAAACAUCGUUGAAGACCCAGUUCUAAGCCGUAAAGCAUGGCACACUAAACUAUAGAGUAGUCAUCAGCUUUGCUCUGCCAGACGUUCAUAACAUCUGGUGUUGCUCCAGCAGCAUGCCUGGCACCUAGCGGUGCUUCUAGGACGUAAUUCUUCUGUGCAGCAAUGAGGAUAAUCCUCAAGUUACGGACCCAGUCCGUGUAAUUGCUACCAUCAUCUUUCAACUUUGCUUUCUCAAGGAACGCAUUAAAAUUUAACGGAACAACAGCACGGGCCAUCUAUCUACAAUCAACAUAGACAAGCAAGAUACUAUCAGGUACUAAGUUCAUGAUAAAUUUAAGUUUAAUUAAUCAUAUUACUUAAGAACUCCCACUUAGAUAGACAUCCCUCUAAUCCUCUAAUUGAUUAUGUGAUCCAUAUCAACUACACCAUGUCCGAUCAUCACGUGAGAUGGAGUAGUUUCAACGGUGAACAUCAAUAUGUUGAGCAUAUCUACUAUAUGAUUCACGCUCGACCUUUCGGUCUCCGUGUUCUGAGGCCAUAUCUGUUAUAUGCUAGGCUCGUCAAGUUUAACCUGAGUAUUCCGCGUGUGCAACUGUUUUGCACCCGUUGUAUUUGAACAUAGAGCCUAUCACACCCGAUCAUCACAUGGUGUCUCAGCACGAAGAACUUUCGCAAUGGUGCAUACUCAGGGAAACACUUCUUGAUAAUUUUAGUGAGAGAUCAUCUUAAAAUGCUACCGUCAAUGAAAGCAAGAUAAGAUGCAUAAAGGAUAAACAUCACAUGCAAUCAAUAUAAGUGAUAUGAUAUGGCCAUCAUCAUCUUGUGCUUGUGAUCUCCAUCUCCGAAGCACCUCCAUGAUCACCAUCGUCACCGGCGCGACACCUUGAUCUCCAUCGUAGCAUCAUUGUCGUUUACGUCGUCUAUUGCUUCUAUGACUAUCGCUAGCGCUUAGUGAUAAAGUAAAGCAAUUACAAGGUGUUUGCAUUUUGUACAAUAAAGCGACAACCAUAUGGCUCCUGCUAGUUGCCGAUAACUUCGGUUACAAAACAUGAUCAUCUCAUACAAUAAAAUAUAGCAUCACAUCUUGACCAUAUCACAUCACAACAUGCCCUGCAAAAACAAGUUAGACGUCCUCUACUUUGUUGUUGCAAGUUUUACGUGGCUGCUACGGGCUUAGCAAGAACUAUUCUUAUCUAUGCAUCAAAACCACAACGAUAGUUUGUCAAGUUGGUGUUGUUUUAACCUUCGCAAGGACCGGGCGUAGCCACACUCGGUUCAACUAAAGUGAGAGAGACAGACACCCGCCAGUCACCUUUAAGCACGAGUGCUCGUAAUGGUGAAACCAGUCUCGCGUAAGCAUAUGCGUAAUGUCGGUUCGGGCCGCUUCAUCUCACAAUACCGCUGAACCAAGUAUGACAUGUUGGUAAGCAGUAUGACUUAUAUCGCCCACAACUCACUUAUGUUCUACUCGUGCAUAUGACAUCUACGCAUAAAACCUGGCUCGGAUGCCACUGUUGGGGAACGUAGUAAUUUGAAAAAAAAUCCUACGCACACGCAAGAUCAUGGAGAUGCAUAGCAACGAGAGGGGAGAGUAUUGUCCAUGUACCCUCAUAGACCGAAAGCGGAAGCGUUAUGACAACGCGGUUUAUGUAGUCGUACGUCUUCACGAUCCGACCGAUCCAAGUACCGAACGUACGGCACCUCCGAGUUCAGCACACGUUCAGCUCGAUGAUGAUCCCCAGACUCUGAUCCAGCAGGGUGUCGGGGAUGAGUUCCGUCAGCACGACGGCGUGGUGAUGAUGAUGAUGUUAUACCGACGCAGGGCUUCACCUAAGCACCGCAAUGAUAUGACCGAGGUGGAAUAUGGUGGAGAGGGGCACCGCACACGGCUAAGGAACGAUCACAAAGAUCAACUUGUGUGUUAUGGGGUGCCCCCUGCCCCCGUAUAUAAAGGAGGGAGGGGGUAGGUGCGGCCGGCCCCUAGGGGUGCGCCUGGAGGAGUCCUACUCCCACCGGGAGUAGGACUCCCCCCUCUUGCCAUGUAGGAGAAGGAAAGGGGGAAGGGGAAAGAGGAAAGGGGGGCACCGCCCCCCCCCCCUUCCUUAUCCUAUUCGGACUAGGGGGGAGGGGGCGCGCGACAUGCCCUUGCCGGCCCUCCUCUUCUCCCUUAGGGCCCAUGUAGGCCCAUUAACCCCCGGGGGGGUUCCGGCAACCCCCCGGUAUUCCCGUAAAAUCCCGAUUUCACCCGGAACGAUUCCGAUAUCCAAAUAUAGGCUUCCAAUAUAUUAAUCUUUAUGUCUCCACCAUUUCGAGACUCCUCGUCAUGUCCGUGAUCAUAUCCGGGACUUCGAACAACCUUCGGUACAUCAAAACUUUAAACUCAUAAUAAAAUUGUCAUCGUAACGUUAAGCGUGCGGACCCUACGGGUUUGAGAACUAUGUAGACAUGACCUAGAACUGUUUCCGGUCAAUAACUAAUAGUGGAACCUGGAUGUUCAUAUUGGCUCCUACAUAUUCUACGAAGAUCUUUAUCGGUCUGACCGCAUAACAACAUACGUAGUUCCCUUUGUCAUCGGUAUGUUACUUGCCCGAGAUUUGAUCGUCGGUGUCUCAAUACCUAGUUCAAUCUCAUUACCAGCAAGUCUCUUUACUCGUUCCAUAAUACAUCAUCUCACAACUAACUCAUUAGUUGAAAUGCUUGCAAGGCUUAAGUGAUGUGCAUUAUCGAGAGGGCCCAGAGAUACCUCUCCGACAAUCGGAGUGACAAAUCCUAAUCUUGAAAUACGCCAACCCAACAAGUACCUUUGGAUACACCUGUAGAGCACCUUUAUAAUCACCCAGUUACGUUGUGACGUUUGGUAGCACACAAAGUGUUCCUCCGGUAAACAGGAGUUGCAUAAUCUCAUAGUCAUAGGAACAUGUAUAAGUCAUGAAGAAAGCAAUAGCAGAAAACUAAACGACCAAGUGCUAAGCUAACGGAAUGGGUCAAGUCAAUCACAUCAUUCUCCUAAUGAUGUGAUCCCGUUAAUCAAAUGACAACACAUGUCUAUGGUCAGGAAACAUAACCAUCUUUGAUCAACGAGCUAGUCAAGUAGAGGCAUACUAGUGACACUCUGUUUGUCUAUGUAUUCACACAAGUAUUAUGUUUCCGGUUAAUACAAUUCUAGCAUGAAUAAUAAACAUUUAUCAUGAUAUAAGGAAAUAAAUAAUAACUUUAAUAUUGCCUCCAGGGCAUAUUUCCUUCAGAAACUGGACUUCCUAUAUAGAAUUCUUCACCUCCGUACCUUUUCGGAACUCCUCAUGACGUCCGGGAUCUCAUUCGGGACUCCGAACAACUUUCGGGUUACCAUAUACUAAUAUCUCUACAACCCUAGCGUCACUGAACCUUAAGUGUGUAGACCCUAUGGGUUCGAGAAUCACGCAGACAUGACCGAGACAGCUCUCUGGCCAAUAACCAACAGCGGGAUCUGGAUACCCAUGUUGGCUCCCACAUGUUCCAUGAUGAUCUCAUUGGAUGAACCACGAUGUCGAGGAUUCAAGUAAUCCCGUAUACAAUUCCCUUUGUCAAUCGGUAUGUUACUUGCCCGAGAUUCGAUCGUCGGUAUCCCAAUACCUUGUUCAAUCUCGUUACCGGCAAGUCACUUUACUCGUACCGUCAUGCAUGAUCCCAUGACCAAACACUUGGUCACAUUGAGCUCAUUAUGAUGAUGCAUUACCGAGUGGGCCUAGAGAUACCUCUCCGUCAUACGGAGUGACAAAUCCCAGUCUCGAUCCGUGUCAACCCAACAGAUACUUUUGGGGAUACCCAUAGUAUACCUUUAUAGUUACCCAGUUACGUUGUGACGUUUGGUACACCCAAAGCACUCCUACGGUAUCCGGGAGUUACACGAUCUCAUGGUCUAAGGAAAUGAUACUUGACAUUAGAAAAGCUCUAGCAAACGAACUACACGAUCUUGUGCUAUGCUUAGGAUUGGGUCUUGUCCAUCACAUCAUUCUCCUAAUGAUGUGAUCCCGUUAUCAACGACAUCCAAUGUACAUAGUCAGGAAACCAUGACUAUCUGUUGAUCAACGAGCUAGUCAACUAGAGCCUUACUAGGGACAUGUUGGGGUUUAUGUAUUCACACAUGUAUUAUGAUUUCCGGAUAACACAAUUAUAGCAUGAAUAAUAGACAUUAUCAUGAACAAGGAAAUAUAAUAAUAAUCAUUUUAUUAUUGCCUCUAGGGCAUAUUUCCAAUAGUCUCCCACUUGCACUAGAGUCAAUAAUCUAGUUACAUUGUGAUGAAUCGAACACCCAUAGAGUUCUGGUGUUGAUCAUGUUUUGCUCGCGGAAGAGGUUUAGUCAACGGAUCUGCGACAUUCAGAUCCAUAUGCACUUUGCAAAUAUCUAUAUCUCCAUCUUGAACAUUUUCACGAAUGGAGUUGAAGCGACGCUUGAUGUGCCUGGUCUUCUUGUGAAACCUGGGCUCCUUGGCAAGGGCAAUAGCUCCAGUGUUGUCACAGAAGAGAGUGAUCGGCCCCAACGCAUUGGGUAUGACUCCUAGGUCGGUGAUGAACUCCUCCAUCCAUAUUGCUUCAUGCGCUGCCUCCGAGGCUGCCAUGUACUCCGCUUCACAUGUAGAUCCCGCCAUGACACUUUGCUUGCAACUGCACCAGCUUACUGCCCCACCAUUCAAAAUAUACACGUAUCCGGUUUGUGACUUAGAGUCAUCCAGAUCUGUGUCGAAGCUAGCAUCGACGUAACCCUUUACGACGAGCUCUUCGUCACCUCCAUAAACGAGAAACAUAUCCUUAGUCCUUUUCAGGUACUUCAGGAUAUUCUUGACUGUUGUCUAGUGUUCCAUGUCGGGAUUACUUUGGUACCUUCCUACCAAACUUACGGCAAGGUUUACAUCAGGUCUGGUACACAGCAUGGCAUACAUAAUAGACCCUAUAGCUGAGGCAUAGGGGAUGACACUCAUCUUUUCUCUAUCUUCCGCCGUGGUCGGGCAUUGAGCCAAGCUCAAUUUCACACCUUGUAACACAGGCAAGAACCCCUUCUUGGACUGAUCCAUAUUGGACUUCUUCAAUAUCUUAUCAAGGUAUGUGCUUUGUGAAAGACCUAUGAGGCGUCUUGAUCUAUCCCUAUAGAUCUUGAUGCCUAAUAUGUAAGCAGCUUCUCCAAGGUCCUUCAUUGAAAAACACUUAUUCGAGUAGGCCUUGAUGGAGGAUGGUUGAUGAUGACGACGGCAACGAAUCCCCCUCUCCGGAGCCACAAACGGACUCCAGAUCAGCCCUCCCGAGAGAUUAGGGCUUGGCGGCGGCUCCGUGUCGUGAAACGCGAUGAAACUUUCUCCUUGAUUUUUUUUCUCCCCGAGACGGUAUAUUAGGGCUUGGCGGCGGCCCCCUGACCUUCAUUCUUUCGCCAAAAAUUCUUAUUAAUUCUGAAAAGUGCCUUCGUGGAUUUCCAGGACAUUCCGAGAAUUUUUCUUUUCUACACAUAAAACAACAUCAUGGUAGUUCUGCUGAAAACAGCGUCAAUCCGGGUUAGUUUCAUUCAAAUCAUGCAAGUUAGAGUCCAAAACAAGGGCAAAAGUGUUUGGAAAAGUAGAUACGUUGGAGACGUAUCAACUCCCCCAAGCUUAAACCUUUGCUUGUCCUCAAGCAAUUCAGUUGACAAACUGAAAGUGAUAAAGAAAAACUUUUACAAACUCUGUUUGCUCUUGUUGUUGUAAACAUGGAAAGCCAGCAUUCAAGUUUCAGCAAAUAUUAUGAACUAACCAUACUCACAAUAACACAUAGGUCUCACAAUUACUCAUAUCAAUAGCAUAAUCAGCUAGCAAGUCAUAAUAAUAGAACUCGGAUGACAACACUUUCUCAAAAUAAUCAUAACAUGAUAUAACAAAAUGGUAUCUGCUAGCCCUUUCUGAGACCGCAAAACAUAAAUGCAAAGCACCUUUAAAGAUCAAGGACUGACUAAACAUUGUAAUUCAUGGUAAAAGAGAUCCAGUCAAGUCAUACCCAAUAUAAACCAGUAAUAAUGAAUGCAAAUGACAGUGUGCUCUCCAGCGGGUGCUUUUAAUAAGAAGGAUGAUGACUCAACAUGAAAGUAAAUAGAUAGACCAUUCGCAGAGGGAAGCAGGGAUUUGUAGAGGUGCCAGAGCUCGAUUUUAAAAUAGAGAUUAAAUAACAUUUUGAGCGGCAUACUUCCGCUGUCAACGCAACAACUAUGAGAUGGUUGUAUCUUCCAUACUACAUGCAUUAUAGGCAGUUCCCAAACAGAAUGGUAAAGGUUUAUACUCCCCCAACCACCAACAAGCAUCAAUCCAUGGCUUGCUCGAAACAACGAGUGCCUCCAACAUACAACAGCCCUGGGGGAGUUUUGUUUAAUUAUUUUUAUUUGCUUUGAUCUUUUGGAUCAUGGGAUUGGGCAUCCCGGUUACCGUCCCUUUCUCGUGAAUGAGGAGCGGAGUCCACUCCUCUGAGAAUAACACACCUAGCAUGAAAGAUAAAGGCAGCACUAGUUGUAACAUGAGCUGCUCGAGCAUACAAAACAGAAUUUCAUUUGAAGGUUUGGAGUUUGGCACAUACAAAUUUACUUGGAACGGCAGGUAGAUACCGCAUAUAGGAAGGUAUAGUGGACUCAUAUGGAACAACUUUGGGGUUUAAGGAGUUUGGAUGCACAAGCAGUAUUCCCGCUUAGUACAGGUGAAGGCUAGCAAAAGACUAGGAAGCGACCAACUGAGAGAGCGACAACAGUCAGAAGCAUGCAUUAAAAUUAAUUCAUACAGGAUACAAGCAUGAGUAGGAUAUAAUCCACCAUGAACAUAAAUAUCGUAAAGGCUAUGUUGAUUUGAUUUAACUACAUGUGUGAACAUGUGCCAAGUCGAGUCACUUAAUACAUUCAAAGGAGGAUACCAUCCCAUCAUAUCACAUCAUAAUCAUUCUAAUAGCAUGUUGGCACGCAAGGUAAACCAUUAUAACUCAUAGCUAAUCAAGCAUGGCACAAGUAACUAUAAUCUCUAAAUGUCAUUGCAAAUAUGUUUACUUCAUAAUAGCUGACUCAGGAACGAUGAAUCAUCAUAUUUACAAAAACAAGAAAGGUCGAGUUCAUACCAGCUUUUCUCAUCCCAAUAAGUCCAUCAUAUAUCGUCAUUAUUGCCUUUCACUCGCACGACUGAACGAAUAUAAUAAUAAGAGUGCACGUGCAUUGGACUAAGCUGGAAUCUGCAAGCAUUCAACUCAAGAGAGAAGACAAGUAAUAUGGGCUCUAAAUAUAAAUAAUCAAUCAUGCAUAAGAGAGCCACUAAGCAUUUUCAAUACGGUCUUCUCGAUGCCCAGAAGAAAGAAAAGAAAAUAAAACUAUUUACACGGGAAAGCUCCCAACAAGUAAAAGAAGAACGAGAAAUCUUUUUGGGUUUUCAUUUUAAUUUCUACUACAAGCAAGGAAAUUAAACUAACUAUUUUUUUGGUUUUUUUCUUAAGAUUUAUCAAACACACAAGAAGAAAACUAGAAAAAGAAAUUUAAACUAGCAUGGAUAAUACAAUGAAAGAGUAUGAGCACUGAUGACUAGUGUGUGAACGUGAAUGUAAAGUCAGUGAGAAAUACAUACUCCCCCAAGCUUAGGCUUUUGGCCUAAGUUGGUCUAAUACCAAGGACCGCCUGGCUGAUAUCCAUAAGUGAAACUAGGGUUGUACUGAGAUGCAGAGGCAACAGCCUCCUGGGCAGCAGCGUGUUGGCGAGCUGCCUCCAUUCCCCUCUCAUAUUCAGUGGCUUCUUCCUUGGUGAUAACAUAUCUUCCUCUUGCCUGAUAAUCAAAAAGGUAGGGAGCAGGAAGAGUAACAGGGACGACGUUGCGUCUAUCAUAGAUUAGUCGAUAAUGGAGGAAUUGGUCAUUCCUCUCAAGAAAUUGAUGAUCAAACAUAGCUUCUUUAUCUAAAUAAGCAGGAGGUACAAUCAUAUCCCCCUCUCGUGGAGCUAUAUUAAGAAAAUUUGCCACACGGGUUGCAUAAAUUCCUCCAAAGAAAUUUCCCUUUUUACUAUUAUUAUGCAACCUACGUGCAACUAUUGCCCCCAAGUUAUAACCUCUGUAACCAGACACAACACUCUUGAGGACACAAAGAUCAGGAGCACACAAGUGACUUACUUCGUCCUUACCGUUAAUGCAUUUACCAAUAAAGAGCGCAAAGUAAUGUAUAGCAGGAAAAUGAAUGCUCCCUAUGGUAGCUUGUGCUAUGUCCCUAGAUUCUCCCAUAGUAAUACUAGCAAGAAAAUCUCUAAAUUCAGAUUUGCGAGGAUCAUUGAUAUUACCCCACUGAGGGAGUUUGCAAGCAGUUGUGAAAUCCUCUAAAUCCAUGGUAUAAGAUGUAUCAUAAAUAUCAAACAUAACACUAGGAUAAUUACGCGAAGAAAUAUAUUCGAACCUCGACACGAAGGAAUCAGUCAAAUGAUAAUAUUGAGGACACUUAUCUUGUAAGAAGUCCUCCAGCUCGGCAGUACGCACAUACGCGUCAAAUUCCUCCUUGAAGCCUGCUUCGACCAUAAAAUCAUCGGAUGGCCACUCACAAGCCCGUACAUAUGCAUCCCUCGGCAAUUUAAUGUCUUGCUCUCGUAUAGCAAUCCUUGGCCCUUUCUUUGCCGAGGAACCACCUUGGUACAUUCUUCUAAGCAUAUUUCUUUUUCUGAAAAUUUCUGAAAUUUUAGUAACUUCAAAAUAAAAGUGGAUAAAACUAAACAAGAUUGAUAGCAACUACUCCUACAAGUGCCUAGAGCCUAUAUCAUGCAUUGGAAUUGCUUGGGACCUCAAAAAUUUAACAUGCAAGCUCAAGAACAUGGUCACCUAAGCAGCAAAAAUUUACAAUGAAUAAAGCACUAGAACAAAAACUAUUUGGACCAAUGGAGGAGUCACAUACCAAGCAACAAUAUCCCAAAGCAGUUUUGUGAAUGGAGCUUUGAGCUAAGAGAUCGAAAAUUGCAGCAAAACGAGCUAGAACUCGAGCAUGAACUGGAUGAGGAUUUUUUUGGGUAGAAGAUGGAGUGUGUGCGUGUUGGCAUAAGUGGAGGGGAGUCACCAGGGGGCCACGAGAUAGGGGGCGCGCCCUACAGGGGGGGCGCCCUCCUGUCUCGUGGCCUGGUGCUUGGCCCUCUUGCAGUGUUUUCAGUGCCUAAAAUCCUCAAAUAUUCUAGAAAAAAUCAUACUAAAUUUGCAGGGCAUUUGGAGCACUUUUAUUUUCGGACUAUUUUUUAUUGCAUGGAUAAAUUGGAAAACAGACAGAUAAUACUAUUUUUGCUUUAUUUAUUCUAAAUGACAGAAAGUAAAAAGAGGGUACAGAAGGUUGUGCCUUCUAGUUUCAUCCAUCUCGUGAUCAUCAAAACGAACCCGCUAACAAGGUUGAUCAAGUCUUGUUAACAAACUCAUUCCGAAUAACACGGAAACGGAGAAAUUUCGAAAAACACUAAGUUACCUCAACGGGGAUAUGAAAAUCCCCAACAAUAAGAAUAUCAUACUUUUUCUUGACAGUAGGGAGAGGAAAUUCAAAACCUCCAAAAAUGAUAGUUGGAACUUUUUCAAUAGAAUUGAUGCUAUGAACUUGAGAUUGUUUCCUCGGAAAGCGUACCAUAUUCUCAUUACCAUUAACAUGAAAAGUGACAUUGCCUUUGUUGCAAUCAAUAACAGCCCCUGCAGUAUUAAGAAAAGGUCUACCAAGGAUAAUAGACAUACUAUUGUCCUCGGGAAUAUCAAGAAUGACAAAGUUCGUUAAGAUAGUGACAUUUGCAACCACAACAGGCACAUCCUCACAAAUACCGACAGGUAUAGCAGUUGAUUUAUCAGCCAUUUGCAAAGAUAUUUCAAUAGGUGUCAACUUAUUCAAUUCAAGUCUAUGAUAUAAAGAGAGAGGAUUAACACUAACACCGGCUCCGAGAUCACAUAAAGCAGUUCUAACAUAAUUUCUUUUAAUAGAGCAUGGUAUAGUUGGUACACCCGGAUCUCCAAGUUUCUUUGGUAUUCCACCCUUAAAAGUGUAAUUAGCAAGCAUGGUGGAAAUUUCAGCUUCCGGUAUCUUUCUUUUAUUUGUGAUGAUAUCCUUCAUAUAUUUAGCAUAAGGAUUUGCUUUAAGCAUAUCAGUUAAGCGCAUACGUAAGAAAAUAGGUCUAAUCAUUUCAGCAAAACGCUCAAAAUCCUCAUCAUCCUUUGACUUGGAUGGUUUAGGAGGAAAGGGCAUGGGUUUCUGAACCCAUGGUUCUCUUUCUUUACCGUGCUUCCUAGCAACAAAAUCUCUCUUAUCAUAACAUUGAUUCUUUGAUUGUGGGUUAUCAAGAUCAACAGCAGGUUCAAUCUCUACAUCAUUGUCUUUGCUAGGUUGAGCAUCAACAUGAACAUUAUCAUUAACAUUAUCACUAGGUUCAUGUUCAUCACCUGAUUGCGUUUCAGCAUCAGAAAUAGAAAUAUCAUUGGGAUUCUCAGGUGUUUCAACAUUAGGUUCACUAGAAGCAUGCAAAAUCCUAUCAUUAUUCUUUUUCUUCUUCUUCUUAGAAGAACUAGGAACAUCUAUAUUAUUUCUCUGAGAAUCUUGCUCGAUUCUCUUAGGGUGGCCUUCAGGAUACAAAGGUUCCUGAGUCAUUCUACCAGUUCUAGUAGCCACUCUAACAGCAAAGUCAUUUUUAUUAUUCAAUUCAUCAAGCAAAUCGUUUUGAGCUUUGAGUACUUGCUCAGCUUGAGUAGCAACCAUAGAAGCAUAUUUGCUAACGCGGUGAAGUUCAUCUUUAACUCUAGCCAGAUUAUCACCUACGCGUCCUAUCUCGAAAGCAUUAUUCUUUAACUCUCUACCAACAUAAGCAUUAAAACUUUCUUGUCUAGCCAUAAAGUCAUCACAUUCAUCUAAGCAUGGGCUAUGAAAUUUAGUAGAGGGUAUUUCAACUUCAUCAUAUCUAUAGAGAGAAUUUACGUUUACUACCUGUGUAGGGUUAUCAAGACAAUGUAGUGUUGGAAAUAUGCCCUAUAGGCAAUAAUAAAAGCAUUAUUAUUAUAUUUCCUUGUUCAUGAUAAUUGUCUUUUAUUCAUGCUAUAAUUGUAUUAUCCGGAAAUCGUAAUACACGUGUGAAUACAUAGACCACAAUAUGUCCCUAGUGAGCCUCUAGUUGACUAGCUCGUUGGUCAACAGAUAGUCAUGGUUUCCUGACUAUGGACAUUAGAUGUCAUUGACAACGGGAUCACAUCAUUAGGAGAAUGAUGUGAUGGACAAGACCCAAUCCUAAGCAUAGCACAAGAUCGUGUAGUUCGUUUUGCUAGAGCUUUUUCAAUGUUAAGUAUCUCUUCCUUAGACCAUGAGAUCGUGUAACUCCCAGAUGUCGUAGGAGUGCUUUGGGUGUACCAAACGUCACAACGUAACUGGGUGACUAUAAAGGUGCACUACAGGUAUCUCCGAAAGUGUCUGUUGGGUUGACACGGAUCGAGACUGGGAUUUGUCACUCCGUAUGACGGAGAGGUAUCUCUGGGCCCACUCGGUAAUGCAUCAUCAUAAUGAGCUCAAAGUGACCAAGUGUUUGGUCACGGGAUCAUGCAUUACGGUACGAGUAAAGUGACUUGCCGGUAACGAGACUGAACGAGGUAUUGGGAUACCGACGAUCGAGUCUCGGGCAUGUAACGUACCGAUUGACAAAGGGAAUUGUAUACGGGGUUGUUCGAAUCCUCGACAUCGUGGUUCAUCCGAUGAGAUCAUCAAGGAGCAUGUGGGAGCCAACAUGGGUAUCCAGAUCCCGCUGUUGGUUAUUGCCCGAGAGCCGUCUCGGUCAUGUCUACGUGACUCCCGAACCCGUAGGGUCUACACACUUAAGGUUCGGUGACGCUAGGGUUGUAUGAAUAUGAGUAUGCAGCAUACUGAAUGUUGUUCGGAGUCCCGGAUGAGAUCCUGUACAUCACGAGGAGUUCCGGAAUGGUCCGGAGGUAAAGAAUUAUAUAUAGGAAGUGGUAUUUCGGCCAUCGGGAAAGUUUCGGGGUCACCCGGUAUUGUACCGGGACCACCGAAAGGGUCCCGAGGGUCCACCGGGUGGGGCCACCCAUCCCGGAGGGCUCCAAGGGACGAAGUGGGGAGGGGAACCAGCCCAUAGUGGGCUGGUGCGCCCCCCUUGGCCCACCCCCUGCGCCUAGGGUUGAAACCCUAGGGUGGGGGGGCGCCCCACUUGCCUUGGGGGGCACUCCACCCCCCUUGGCCGCUGCCCCCUUAGGAGAUUGGAUCUCCCAGGGCCGGCGCCCCCCCCCCCUGGGGGCCUAUAUAAAUGGAGGGGGGAAGGGGGCAGCCGCACCCUGAAGUCCUGGCGCCCCCUCCCCCUGCUACACCUCUUCCUCCUCCGUCACGCGCUUGGCGAAGCCCUGCCGGAGUGCUGCUGCUCCACCACCACCACGCCGUUGUGCUGCUGUUGGAGCCAUCAUCAUCAACCUCUCCUUCCCCCUUGCUGGAUGAAGAAGGAGGAGACGUCAUCCGCUCCGUACGUGUGUUGAACGCGGAGGUGCCGUCCGUUUGGCGCUAGGAUCUCCGGUGAUAGGAUCACAACGAGAACGACUACUUCAACUCUGUUCUUUUAAACGCUUCCGCUCGCGAUCUACAAAGUGGUAUGUAGAUGCAUCUCCCCUGACUCGUUGCUUAGAUGAACUCAUAGAUGGAUCUUGGUGAAACCGUAGGAAAAAUUUUAAUUUUCUGCAACGUUCCCCAACAGUGGCAUCAUGAGCUAGGUCUAUGCGUAGUUCUCUAUUGCACGAGUAGAACACAAUUUUGUUGUGGGCGUAGAUUUUGUCAACUUGCUUGCCGCUACUAGUCUUAUCUUGCUUUAGAUGUAUUGUGAGAUGAAGCGGCCCGGACCAACCUUACACGUACGCUUACGUGAGACCGGUUCCACCGACUAACAUGCACUAGUUGCAUAAGGUGGCUGGCGGGUGUCUGUCUCUCCCACUUUAGUUGAAGCGGAUUCGAUGAAAAGGGUCCUUAUGAAGGGUAAAUAGAAGUUGACAAGAUCACGUUGUGGUUAUUCGUAGGUAAGAAAACGUUCUUGCUAGAACCCAAUUGCAGCCACGUAAAAGAUGCAACAACAAUUAGAGGACGUCUAACUUGUUUUUGCAGCAAUUGUCAUGUGAUGUGAUAUGGCCAGAAGUUGUGAUGAAUGAUGAAUAAUAUAUUGUGAUGUAUGAGAUCAUGUUCUUGUAAUAGGAAUCACGACUUGCAUGUCGAUGAGUAUGACAACCAGCAGGAGCCAUAGGAGUUGUCUUUAUUUUUGUAUGACCUGCGUGUCAUUGAAGAACGCCAUGUAAAUUACUUUACUUUGUUGCUAAACGCGUUAGCCAUAGAAGUAGAAGUAGUCGUUGGCGUGACAACUUCAUGAAGACACGAUGAUGGAGAUCAUGAUGAUGGAGAUCAUGGUGUCAUGCCGGUGACGAAGAUGAUCAUGGAGCCCCGAAGAUGGAGAUCGAAGGAGCUAUAUGAUAUUGGCCAUAUCAUGUCACUAUUAUAUAAUUACAUGUGAUGUUUAUUAUGUUUAUGCAUCUUGUUUACUUAGAACGACAGUAGUAAAUAAGAUGAUCCCUUACAACAAUUUCAAGAAGUGUUCUCCCCUAACUGUGCACCGUUGCUAAAGUUCGUCGUUUCAAAGCACCACGUGAUGAUCGGGUGUGAUAGAUCCUUACGUUCACAUACAACGGGUGUAAGACAGUUUUACACAUGCAAAACACUUAGGGUUAACUUGACGAGCCUAGCAUGUACAGACAUGGCCUCGGAACACGGAGACCGAAAGGUCGAACACGAGUCGUAUGGAAGAUACGAUCAACAUGAGAAUGUUCACCGACGAUGACUAGUCCGUCUCACGUGAUGAUAGGACACGGCCUAGUCGACUCGGAUCGUGUAAUACUUAGAUGACUAGAGGGAUGUCUAAUCUGAGUGGGAGUUCAUUAAAAUAAUUUGAUUAGAUGAACUUAAUUAUCAUGAACUUAGUCUAAAACUUUUUGCAUAAUAUGUCUUGUAGAUCAAAUGGCCAACGCUCAUGUCAACAUGAACUUCAACGCGUUCCUAGAGAAAACAAAGUUGAAAGAUGAUGGCAGCAACUAUACGGACUGGGUCCGAAACCUGAGGAUCAUCCUCAUAGCUGCCAGGAAACAAUAUGUCCUAGAAGGACCGCUAGGUGACGCUCCCGUCCCAGAGAACCAAGACAUUAUGAAUGCUUGGCAGUCUCAUGCUGAUGAUUACUCCCUCGUUCAGUGCGGCAUGCUUUACAGCUUAGAACCGGGGCUCCAAAAGCGUUUUGAGCAACACGGAGCAUAUGAGAUGUUCGAGGAGCUGAAACUAGUUUUCCAAGCUCAUGCCCGGGUCGAGAGAUAUGAAGUCUCUGACAAGUUCUAUAGUUGUAAGAUGGAGGAAAAUAGUUCUGUCAGUGAGCACAUACUCAAAAUGUCUGGGUUGCACAACCGCCUGCCCCAGCUGGACAUUAACCUCCCGGAUGAGGCGGUCAUUGACAGAAUCCUUCAGUCGCUCCGGCCAAGCUACAAGAGCUUUGUGAUGAACUACAAUAUGCAGGUGAUGGUGAAGACCAUUCCUGAAGUAUUUUCAAUGCUGAAGUCAGCAGAGGUUGAAAUCAAGAAAGAACAUCAAGUGUUGAUGGUCAAUAAGACCACUAAGUUCAAAAGGGGCAAGGGUAAGAAGAACUUCAAGAAGGACGACAAAGAUGUUGCCGCGCCCGGUAAGCCAGUUGCCAGGAAGAAGUCAAAGAAUGGACCCAAGCCUGAGACUGAGUUCUUUCACUACAAGGGGAAGGGUCACUGGAAGCGGAACUGCCCCAAAUACUUAGCGGAUAAGAAGGCCGGCAACACCAAAGGUAUAUUUGAUAUACAUGUAAUUUAUGUGUACCUUACCAGUACUCGUAGUAACUCCUGGGUAUUUGAUACCGGUGUCGUUGCUCAUAUUUGUAACUCACAGCAGGAGCUGCGGAAUAAGCAGAGACUGGCGAAGGACGAGGUGGCGAUGCGCGUCGGGAAUGGUUCCAGAGUCGAUGUGAUCGCCGUCGGCAUGCUACCUCUACAUUUACCUACGGGAUUAGUUUUGAACCUUAAUAAUUGUUAUUUGGUGCCAAGUUUGAGCAUGAACAUUGUAUCUGGAUCUCGUUUGAUACGAGAUGGCUACUCAUUUAAAUCCGAGAAUAAUGGUUGUUCUAUUUAUAUGAGAGAUAUGUUUUAUGGUCAUGCCCCGAUGGUCAAUGGUUUAUUCUUAAUGAAUCUCGAACGUAGUGUUACACAUAUUCAUAGCGUGAAUACCAAAAGAUGCAAAGUUGAUAACGGUAGUCCCACAUACUUGUGGCACUGCCGCCUUGGUCACAUUGGUGUCAAGCGCAUGAAGAAGCUCCAUGCUGAUGGACUUUUAGAGUCUCUUGAUUAUGAAUCAUUUGACACAUGCGAACCAUGCCUCAUGGGCAAAAUGACCAAGACUCCGUUCUCCGGAACAAUGGAGCGAGCAACCAACUUGUUGGAAAUCAUACAUACCGAUGUGUGCGGUCCAAUGAGUGUUGAGGCUCGCGGAGGAUAUCGUUAUGUUCUCACUCUCACAGAUGACUUGAGUAGAUAUGGGUAUGUCUACUUGAUGAAACAUAAGUCUGAGACCUUUGAAAAGUUCAAGGAAUUUCAGAAUGAAGUAGAGAAUCAACGUGACCGAAAGAUAAAAUUCUUACGAUCGGAUCGUGGAGGAGAAUAUUUAAGUCACAAAUUUGGUACACACUUAAGAAAAUGUGGAAUCGUUUCACAACUCACGCCGCCUGGAACACCUCAGCGAAACGGUGUGUCCGAACGUCAUAAUCGCACUCUAUUAGAUAUGGUGCGAUCUAUGAUGUCUCUUACCGAUUUACCGCUAUCAUUUUGGGGAUACGCUCUAGAGACAGCUACAUUCACUUUAAAUAGGGCAUCGUCUAAAUCCGUUGAGACGACACCGUAUGAAUUAUGGUUUGGGAAGAAACCUAAGAUGUCGUUUCUAAAAGUUUGGGGAUGCGAUGCUUAUGUCAAGAAACUUCAACCUGAAAAGCUCGAACCCAAGUCGGAAAAAUGCGUCUUCAUAGGAUACCCCAAAGAAACCAUUGGGUAUACCUUCUACUUAAGAUCCGAGGGCAAGAUCUUUGUUGCCAAGAACGGAUCCUUUCUGGAAAAAGAGUUUCUCUCGAAAGAAGUAAGUGGGAGGAAAGUAGAACUCGAUGAAGUACUACCUCUUGAACGGGAAAGUAGUGCAGCUCAGGAAAAUGUUCCUGUGAUGCCUACACCAACUGAAGAGGAAAAUAAUGAUGAUGAUCAAGGUACUUCGGAUCAAGUUGCUACUGAACUUCGUAGGUCCACAAGGACACGUUCCUCACCAGAGUGGUACGGCAACCCUGUCCUGGAAAUCAUGUUGUUAGACAACGGUGAACCUUCGAACUAUGAAGAAGCGAUGGCGGGCCUAGAUUCCAACAAAUGGCUAGAAGCCAUGAAAUCCGAGAUAGAAUCCAUGUAUGAAAACAAAGUAUGGACUUUGACUGACUUGCCCGAUGAUCGGCGAGCGAUAGAAAACAAAUGGAUCUUUAAGAAGAAGACGGAUGCGGAUGGUAAUGUUACCAUCUAUAAAGCUCGACUUGUCGCUAAAGGUUAUCGGCAAGUUCAAGGGAUUGACUACGAUGAGACUUUCUCUCCCGUAGCGAAGCUUAAGUCCGUCUGAAUCAUGUUAGCAAUUGCCGCAUACUAUGAUUAUGAGAUAUGGCAGAUGGACGUCAAAACGGCAUUCCUUAAUGGGCAUCUUAAGGAAGAACUGUAUAUGAUGCAGCCGGAGGGUUUUGUCGAUCCUAAGAAUGCUAACAAAGUAUGCAAGCUCCAGCGAUCCAUUUAUGGGCUGGUGCAAGCAUCUCGGAGUUGGAACAUUCGCUUUGAUGAAAUGAUCAAAGCGUUUGGGUUUAUGCAGACUUAUGGAGAAGCCUGCGUUUACAAGAAAGUGAGUGGGAGCUCUGUAGCAUUUCUCAUAUUAUAUCUAGAUGACAUACUUUCGAUGGGAAAUGAUAUAGAAUUCUUGGACAGCAUUAAGGCCUACUUGAAUAAGUGUUUUUCAAUGAAGGACCUUGGAGAAGCUGCUUAUAUAUUAGGCAUCAAGAUCUAUAGAGAUAGAUCGCGACGCCUCAUAGGUCUUUCACAAAGCACAUACCUUGAUAAGAUUUUGAAGAAGUUCAAAAUGGAUCAGUCCAAGAAGGGGUUCUUGCCUGUAUUGCAAGGUGUGAGAUUGAGCUCGGCUCAAUGCCCGACCACGGCAAAAGAUAAAGAAGAGAUGAGCGUCAUCCCCUAUGCCUCAGCCAUAGGAUCUAUUAUGUAUGUCAUGCUGUGUACCAGACCUGAUGUAAACCUUGCCGUAAGUUUGGUAGGAAGGUACCAAAGUAAUCCCGGCAAGGAACACUGGAAAGCGGUCAAGAAUAUCCUAAAGUACCUAAAAAGUACGAAGGACAUGUUUCUCGUUUAUGGAGGUGACGAAGAGCUCGUCGUAAAGGGUUACGUUGACGCUAGCUUCGACACAGAUCUAGAUGACUCUAAGUCACAAACCGGAUACGUGUAUAUGUUGAAUGGUGGAGCAGUAAGCUGGUGCAGCUGCAAGCAGAGCGUCGUGGCAGGAUCUACAUGUGAAGCGGAGUACAUGGCAGCCUCGGAGGCAGCGCAUGAAGCAAUUUGGGUGAAGGAGUUCAUCACCGACCUAGGAGUCAUACCCAAUGCGUCGGGGCCGAUCAAACUCUUCUGUGACAACACUGGAGCUAUUGCCCUUGCCAAGGAGCCCAGGUUUCACAAGAAGACCAGGCACAUCAAGCGUCGUUUCAACUCCAUCCGUGAAAAUGUUCAAGAUGGAGACAUAGAUAUUUGCAAAGUACAUGCGGAUCUGAAUGUCGCAGAUCCAUUGACUAAACCUCUCUCGCGAGCAAAACAUGAUCAACACCAGAACUCUAUGGGUGUUCGAUUCAUCACAAUGUAACUAGAUUAUUGACUCUAGUUCAAGUGGGAGACUGUUGGAAAUAUGCCCUAGAGGCAAUAAUAAAAGCAUUAUUAUUAUAUUUCCUUGUUCAUGAUAAUUGUCUUUUAUUCAUGCUAUAAUUGUAUUAUCCGGAAAUCGUAAUACACGUGUGAAUACAUAGACCACAAUAUGUCCCUAAUGAGCCUCUAGUUGACUAGCUCGUUGGUCAACAGAUAGUCAUGGUUUCCUGACUAUGGACAUUAGAUGUCAUUGACAACGGGAUCACAUCAUUAGGAGAAUGAUGUGACGGACAAGACCCAAUCCUAAGCAUAACACAAGAUCGUGUAGUUCGUUUUGCUAGAGCUUUUUCAAUGUUAAGUAUCCCUUCCUUAGACCAUGAGAUCGUGUAACUCCCGGAUGCCGUAGGAGUGCUUUGGGUGUACCAAACGUCACAACGUAACUGGGUGACUAUAAAGGUGCACUACAGGUAUCUCCGAAAGUGUCUGUUGGGUUGACACGGAUCGAGACUGGGAUUUGUCACUCUGUAUGACGGAGAGGUAUCUCUGGGCCCACUCGGUAAUGCAUCAUCAUAAUGAGCUCAAAGUGACCAAGUGUUUGGUCACGGGAUCAUGCAUUACGGUACGAGUAAAGUGACUUGCCGGUAACGAGACUGAACGAGGUAUUGGGAUACCGACGAUCGAGUCUCGGGCAUGUAAUGUACCGAUUGACAAAGGGAAUUGUAUACGGGGUUGUUCGAAUCCUCGACAUCGUGGUUCAUCCGAUGAGAUCAUCGAGGAGCAUGUGGGAGCCAACAUGGGUAUCCAGAUCCCGCUGUUGGUUAUUGCCCGAGAGCCGUCUCGGUCAUGUCUACGUGACUCCCGAACCCGUAGGGUCUACACACUUAAGGUUCGGUGAUGCUAGGGUUGUAUGAAUAUGAGUAUGCAGCAUACCGAAUGUUGUUUGGAGUCCCGGAUGAGAUCCCGGACGUCACGAGGAGUUCCGGAAUGGUCCGGAGGUAAAGAAUUAUAUAUAGGAAGUGGUAUUUCGGCCAUCGGGAAAGUUUCGGGGUCACCCGGUAUUGUACGGGACCACCGAAAGGGUCCCGGGGGUCCACCGGGUGGGGCCACCCAUCUCGGAGGGCUCCAAGGGCCGAAGUGGGGAGGGGAACCAGCCCAUAGUGGGCUGGUGCGCCCCCCUUGGCCCACCCCCUGCGCCUAGGGUUGAAACCCUAGGGUGGGGGGCGCCCCACUUGCCUUGGGGGGCACUCCACCCCCCUUGGCCGCCGCCCCCUUGGGAGAUUGGAUCUCCCAGGGCCGGCGCCCCCCCUAGGGGCCUAUAUAAAGGGAGUGGGGAAGGGGGCAGCCGCACCCUAAAGUCCUGGCGCCCCCUCCCCCUGCUACACCUCUUCCUCCUCCGUCACGCGCUUGGCGAAGCCCUGCCGGAGUGCUGCUGCUCCACCACCACCACGUCGUUGUGCUGUUGCUGGAGCCAUCAUCAUCAACCUCUCCUUCCCCCUUGUGGGAUCAAGAAGGGGGAGACAUCAUCCGCUCCGUACGUGUGUUGAACGCGGAGGUGCCGUCCGUUCGGCGCUAGGAUCUCCGGUGAUAGGAUCACAACGAGAACGACUACUCCAACUCCGUUCUUUUGAACGCUUCCGCUCGCGAUCUACAAAGUGGUAUGUAGAUGCAUCUCCCCUGACUCGUUGCUUAGAUGAACUCAUAGAUGGAUCUUGGUGAAACCGUAGGAAAAAUUUUAAUUUUCUGCAACGUUCCCCAACAUGUAGUUCUUUAGGCGGUAUAUUAAGACCAUGUAUUUCUUCAAUAGGUGGUAAAUUCUUAACAUCUUCAGCUUUAAUACCUGUUUCUUUCAUUCAUUUCUUUGCCUCUUGCAUAUCUUCAGGACUGAGAAAUAAAACACCUCUCUUCUUCGGAGUGGGUUUAGGAAUAGGCUCAGGAGUUGGCUCAAUUGGUUCAGGAAUUACUUUAGGAACUGGCUCGGGAAGAGUCCAAUUAUUUUCACUAGUCAACAUAUUAUUCAAUAGUAUUUCAGCUUCGUCGACUGUUCUUUCCCUGAAAACACAACCAGCACAACUAUCCAAGUGGUCCUUGGAAGCAUCGGUUAGUCCAUUAUAAAAGAUAUCAAGUAUUUCAUUUUUCUUAAGAGAAUGAUCAGGCAAAGCAUAAAGUAACCGGAGAAGCCUCCUCCAAGCUUGUGGGAGACUCUCUUCUUUGAUUUGCACAAAAUUAUAUAUUUCCCGCAAGGCAGCUUGUUUCUUAUGAGCAGGGAAAUAUUUAGCAGAGAAGUAAUAAAUCAUAUCCUGGGGACUACGCACACAACCAGGAGCAAGAGAAUUAUACCAAGUCUUAGCAUCACCCUUUAAUGAGAACGGAAAUAUCUUAAGGAUAUAUAAAUAGCGAGACUUCUCAUCAUGAGUAAAUAGGGUAGCUAUAUCAUUCAACUUUGUAAGAUGUGCCACAACAGUUUCAGAUUCAAGGCCAUAAAAAGGAUCAGAUUCAACUAAAGUAAUAAUAUCAGGAUCAACAGAGAAUUCAUAAUCCUUAUCAGUAACACAGAUAGGUGAAGUAGCAGAAGUAGGAUCGGGUUUCAUUCUAGCAUUAAGACACUGCUGCUUCCAUUUAGCUAAUAAUUUCUUAAGAUCAGAUCUAUCAUUGCAAGCAAGAAUUUCCAUAGCAGCUUUUUCAUUCAUAACAUAACCCUUAGGAACAACAGGUAAAAGAUAAUCAUUGGGGGAACGUUCAUCAUCACUAUCAUCACUAGCAUCUUCAAUAUUUUCAUUCCCCCUAACUCUAGCAAGUUGUUCAUCAAGAAAUUCACCUAAUGGCAAAGUAGUAUCAUGCACAGAAGUAGUUUCAUCAUGCAUAGCAGAAGUGGCAUCAUCAAUAACAUGCAACAUAUCAGAAUUCAUAGCAGUAGCAGGUUUAGGUGUCGCAAGCUUACUAAUAACGGAAGGAGAAUCUAGUGCAGAGCUAGAUGGUAGUUCCUUACCUUCCCUCGUAGUUGAGGGAUAAAUCUUGGUCUUAGCGUCUUUCAAGUUCUUCAUAGUGAUCAACAGAUAUAAAUCCCAAGUGACUCAGAGAAUAGAGCUAUGCUCCCCAGCAACGGCGCUAGAAAUUAGUCUUGAUAACCCACAAGUGUAGGGGAUCGCAACAGCUUUCGAGGGUAGAAUAUUCAACCCAAAUUUAUUGAUUCAACACAAGGGGAGCCAAAGAAUAUUCUCAAGUAUUAGCAGUUGAGUUGUCAAUUCAACCACACCUGGAUAACUUAAUAUCUGCAGCAAGGUAUUUAGUAGCAAAGUAGUAUGGAAGUAAUGGUAACAAUGGCAAAAGUAAUAGUAGCAGUUUUGUAGUAAUUGUAACAGUGGCAACGGUAAAGUAAAUAAGCAAAGCACAAUAUGUGAAAAGCUCGUAUGCAUUGGAUUAGUGAUGGAUAAUUAUGUCGGAUGCGGUUCAUCAUGUAACAGUUAUAACAUAGGGUGACACAGAACUAACUCCAGUUCAUCAAUGUAAUGUAGGCAUGUAUUCCGAAUAUAGUCAUACAUGCUUAUGGCAAAGAACUUCCAUGACAUAUUUUGUCCUACCCUCCUGUGGCAGCGGGGUCCUAUUGGAAACUAAGGGAUAUUAAGGCCUCCUUUUAAUAGAGUACCGGACCAAAGCAUUAGCACUUAGUGAAUACAUGAACUCCUCAAACUACGGUCAUCACCGAGAAGUAUCCCAAUUAUUGUCACUUUGGGGUUGUCAGAUCAUAACACAUAAUAGGUGACUAUAGACUUGCAAGAUAGGAUCAAGAACUCACAUAUAUUCAUGAAAACAUAAUAGGUUCAGAUCUGAAAUCAUGGCACUCGGGCCCUAGUGACAAGCAUUAAGCAUAGCAAAGUCAUAGCAACAUCAAUCUCAGAACAUAAUGGAUAAUAGGGAUCAAACCCUAACAAAACUAACUUGAUUACAUGGUAAAUAUCAUCCAACCCAUCAUCGUCCAGCAAGCCUACGAUGGAAUUACUCACGCACGGCAGUAAGCAUCAUGAAAUUGGUGAUGGAGGAUGGUUGAUGAUGACGACGACGACGAAUCCCCCUCUCCGGAGCCCCGAACGGACUCCAGAUCAGCCCUCCCGAGAGAGAUUAGGGCUUGGCGGCAGCUCCGUAUCGUAAAACACGAUGAAACUUUCUCUUUAAUUUUUUUCUCCGCGAACGCAAAUAUAUGGAGUUGGAGUUGAGGUCGGUGAAGGUCCAGGGGGCCCAUGAGGCAGGGGGCGCGCCCCCACCCUCGUGGAUAGGGUAUGGGCCCCCUGGUGCUGAUUCUUUCGCCAGUAUUUUUUAUUAAUUCUGAAAAGCUGCUCGGCGAUUUUCAGGUCAUUCCGGGAACUUUUAUUUCUGCAAAAAAAUAACACCAUGGCAGUUCUAGUGAAAACAGCGUCAGUCCGGGUUAGUUCCAUUCAAAUCAUGCAAGUUAGAGUCCAAAACAAGGGCAAGAGUGUUUGGAAAAGUAGAUAUGACGAAGACGUAUCAACGUCGACUACAUGACACUUCACCAUUAUUUGGGCCUAGGGGAAGGCAUUGUGAAGUAAUAAGUAGAUGAUGGGUUGCUAGAUUGACAGAAGCUUAAACCCUAGUUUAUGUGUUGCUUCAUAAGGGGCUGAUUUGGAUCCAUAUGUUUCACGUUAUCGUUAGGUUUACCUUAAUUCCUUUCGUAGUUGCGGAUGCUUGCGAGAGGGGUUAAUCAUAAGUGGGAUGCUUGUCCAAGGAAGGGCAGUACCCAAGCACCGGUCCACCCACAUAUCAAAUUAUCAAAGUAACGAACGCGAAUCAUAUGAGCAUGAUGAAAACUAGCUUGACGAUGAUUCCCAUGUGUCCUCGGGAGCGCUUUGCUUUAUAUAAGAGUUUGUCCAGGAUUUUCCUUUGCUACAAAAAGGAUUGGGCCACCUUGCUGCACCUUGUUACUUUUGUUACUUGUUACCCGUUACAAACUACCUUAUCACAAAACUAUCUGUUACCGAUAAUUUCAGUGCUUGCAGAGAAUACCUUACCAAAAACCGCUUGUCAUUUCCUUCUGCUCCUCGUUGGGUUUGACACUCUUACUUAUCGAAAGGACUACGAUAGAUCCCCUAUACUUGUGGGUCAUCAUCGGACCAUUAGAGCACUCAGUCUGGCGGUUUAAGUAGAAGAAUUCCUUGAAGAGAGCAACAGUGGGCUGUACUUGCAAAUAAACUUCGCAAAAGAUUUGGAAGUGGCAAAGGUUUGUUAUUGAAUUCAGGCCUAUGUCUCGAGGAUGGAGAUUGCAAUAGUGUAAGACGUCGCGAAAAAAUUUCGACCCACGCGGAGUAAAGCCUCUGAGGAUAUGAUCAGUAAAAACUAUCACCUCUCCUUCAGCAGGAUUUGGGACAUUUUCUCCUCGGCUGAGUAGCCAGCCUAUCUCCUCUUGAACUGCCAAAAGACCUUAAUCUACAUAGUCCUUAAGCAUUUGUUCAAUGAUCAAGGAAGGCCCCAAUUGCAAAGAGUGGUCUUUGCCAUAUUGAGUUGCCUAAAAGACAAUAGAAAGGCGAAUUAUUUAAUAAACAUGAAGAUAAGUCGCCCAAAUAGUGGUGAGUUAAUUAAAACGAGGCAAUUUCUGGAACUUUGGCGAGUUAUAAAUAUAUUGGUGAGUCGCCCAAAAAGCAAUGGGUGGGUCAAUUAAGAUUCAGGAUUGCUAGAAUUUUACCAAGUAUGGAGCAAACAAGAUUCAGUGUGGAGCAGUUAUAUUUACGGAUCUGAAGGUGGUUCAGAAAAGAAAAAGAAUUACUAAACUUAAAAAGUUGUGGUGGAAGAACUGGCAAGAUAUUCAUUGUUUCUAGAAGGAAACAAAGGUUGUUUAAAUUUGAGAUGGCGCUAAAACUGCUACCGCAAUACCUCUCUGAUAUUUUCGGAUCAAAAAUAGCUUUUGUUCGAAGGAUAUGAUGAACUACAAUGAACUCCAACGAACUCUAUGAACUCAAGUGACCUAAUGCAGAUCUGAGAAAGGAGUAAAAUAGUACUUGGUUGAGGUGGAGAAAAGCGGAGGCAUGCCGCUGGAUCUCAACGGUGACAAGGCAGUACUAUGACUUUGACUGAAAAAGGCAAGCAUGGUUCGAUGGAUGUGGCGGAGCUUUGGCUGCGACGGACGUGUGAGGAAGAAGAAGAAGUGGAGGCGACGAGGUAAAAGUGAAAUAGGCGGACCCCCAUGCCUAUUUAUAAGGAAAAGGAGGGAACGGUAAAGUCACAUGCGAAGACCAAGGAGGCGCAACAAAUUCCGCAGCAAAAGGAUGCCUCGAUUUUUGGAAUGGUGGAUUUAUACAAAGAUCCGCUAUGACGUCAUGAGGAUUUUUCUGAAUUUACAAAAGUGACAUCAUCUUUUCUUAUGGCGGGUUAUGAAGAGUUGUUCAAGGUUAAGCAUUCAGAAGAAUCAAAGAAGGUUCGCCAACCAGAAGGAUUGAAGAUUGACAUGAACAAGUUCAAAUCAAUCUGGGGCCUAAUGUUGGGGAUAUAAUCCCACAGUGUAACCCGCCCUAGAGUGACCGGGUUAGGCUGUUGGCGACUUAACAGUUAGGCCUUAGAAAGGCCCAAGCGAUCAAGAUGCAGGGCCAGGAAGGUGACUUACGAGAUGGACCGGAUAGACGCCCAACGAUAGAAGUCGGCGUGUGGCCCAGAAGUGUAAGCCGCCUCAUGGCGACUUACUGAAGAAGGCAAGGCGACUCAGAGCCGAGAUCGGUCUCGGAGCAUGACCCGACCCAGACUCUUGUGAAGCCUAGUGCCUCGACCUGUGUAUAUAAAGGCGAGUCCCUACGGGGGGUAAAGUUAGGUUACAAUCAAUCGAUAGCUAGGUCAAGCGAAUCUGCUCUCUUGUAAUCGAUACUCAAGCAACACAACACAAAGCAGGACGUAGGCUUUUACCUCGAUCGUGAGGGGCCGAACAUGGGUAAACUCGUGUCUCUCAUCCCGCUCAACCUCUACAAGCUAAUCACUAUAGUGAUGGCCUUGCACCUUAGUCCUUUCACUAGGGCAUCUGCCGUGUUAAAACCACGACAGGAGUGGACCGCGACUCUUCUGUGUUCCUCGUCUUUGAGGAUUCCCCAAUCAAGCAUGGACGUGGGCUGCGGCAGGAAGACGCUCAUCUCCCCUCUUAUGUUCGUCACUACCAUGGACCCGUUACAACAAAUCCUCGAUGUGCCGACGAGAAAGGGUUUUCUCCAUAAGAUCCGAGGAAGGGGAUCAUGGUGCGGACCUCUACUUACACGGACGACGCGGUCGUGUUCAUGGCUCUGAUCAAAAGAGAUGUCGAUAAUCUUACGGUUAUUCUGACAGACUUUGGGGAGGUCUUGGGCCUUUGCACCACCUUCCUUAAAAGUUUGAUGGUCACCAUUCGUCGCAACCACCUUGACUUGAUGCACAUCACCCAAAGUUUGUUGGUACAUCUAGAGCUUCCUUCCUGCUGCGCCACUUGGUGCUCCCCUUCUCCGUUUGGCAAGUCAAGUUGGUUGACUUGCAAUUCCUUGUGGAUAAAGUGGCGAGCAAAUUGACAAUUUACGAGUGUCAAAACAUCACCACCAUUGGGCGUGUGACCCUUGUCAAGUUUGUGACUACUUCCCAAGUGGUCUACUUAAUCACACCUCUUGUCAUUCCACCAAGCACCAUCCGCAUCAUAAACAUUCUCGAGAAGGCUUUCCUUUGGGCCGUAUCAGAUAAGACAAUGGGGGGGGAUGUAAGGUUAAUUGGGAGAUUGUUUGUCGACCACAAGAAUAUGGUGGGCUUGGGAUCCUCAACACUAACAAGUUCGCAUGUGCUUUGGUUUGGGAUGGCAUGCGUAUGAGUGGAAGGAGCUGACGAAGAUGUGGUUCGAAACGGGAAACCUGUGUGAUGAGGAGGAUCUAAACUUUUUUUAUGCCUCAACCACUAUCACCAUUGGAAACGGCACGAACACCCCCUGUUGGGAUUCUCCUUGGCUCUUGGGCGCAAGCCCAACUGCAUUAUUCCUCUCAUCCAUAAGGCCUCUUUGCAGAAAAUUUGGAAGGUGUCGGAGGCCCUCAAAAAUAACGCAUGGAUCCUUAAGAUCAGACCUUCCGCCGUUGUUUCCUUUGAGCACAUUCGACAUUUUUUUCACCAUUUGGAUGCUUUUGCAUGAGGUCCAUCUUGAUGAUCUCGCUGAGGAUGAUAUUUCUUGGAAACAUACGAUAAGUGGGCUCUACUCGGCGGCCUCCAUCUAUAAGGCACAGUUUCUCGGCUUGGUGCUCUCCCCCAUAUGGACCAAAUGAUUUGGAAAGUUUGGACCCCUCCAAAAGUCAAGUUUUUUUUACUUGGUUGGCUCUUCAGGACAUAAUUUGGAUUGUUGAUAGAUUGUUCAAAUGCGGUUGGCUAAAUUCUGGUCCUUGCCCCCUGUGCACACGAGGGUGCAAGAAUGUGGGCUUCGUCUUUUCUUCUCUUGCCUCUACACCCCGAGGCUUCAAAACUUGGUUAUUGAAAAAUCCACAUUGUUGACAUGGACACCUCUUCAUGGCAUUUGAUUUAACCAACUGAGGAGUGGUGGGCAAGCACAAGCGUCGUGGGCACCCUCAACGGAAAAGCCAAGGUUUCACUUACCAUGCUUGUGUCAUGGGCGGUUUGGAAUGAGAGAAACACAUGAGUUUUGCGGCAUAAGAGCGCCCCGUCACUAAUCUUGCUAAACACUAUCACAGUCGAGGCGAACCUUUGGGUCUAAGCCGGGGAGAAGAAGUUAGGGCCAGUCUUUUGCGCGAGUUAUCAUUCAUGUGGCACUUUGGGUGUGCGUUGUAGCAAACUCUAUUCUCUCCUUAUUUAAUAGAUUGGGCUAAAUUUUUGCAUCCGUUUAAAAAAAAUGGUAUCUGAAUGUUUUUUUUUAAACACGCAAUUGUGUACCGUAUUUUUAUAGAAGAGGAGAACAAAAUUUACAAGAGUCCACACGGCGAUGCGAACAUCAUCAUGGGAGCACCCACUCCACAGAGUGGUAUCUGAUUGUGAAAACGAAUUUGUGUGUCCUUGCCGGUCACUGUCGGUGCACACUCGGAACGACACAAAAGGUGAGCAGAUACAUUGCAACAUCUAACAUGACAGAUUUAGCUCUUUUUUUCUUCUUAAGGGAACAGGGCAGGUUCAGCUAGGCACGUCCACUGGGACGCAGCUUCAGUGACUUUAUAAAGCUAAGUCUCACCAUAACUAAGUCCCUUUUAUCAGCCGUUUAUUAAAGAUCCGACGUACGAGAUUGACCUAUUUUUCAUACUGAAAAUUUUAAAGUAUUUAGAAAAAAUUGAAAAAAUUCCAAUAAAUCAUAAAUGUUUCAUUUUGUAUUCUAGGAAAGUUUCAACCCAUUUGGAUGUAUGGUUUGUGAUUAAAUAGCCUUUUGAGCUUCAAUAAAUAAAAAAUGUGUAUUUGUAAGCGAUACAUCCAAAUGGAUUGAAAUUUUCACGGAAUACUAGUCGAAAUAUUUAUGAUUUAUUGGGUUUUUUUAAUUUUUCUGAACACUUUGACAAAAUUCAUUUGAAAUAUGGAUCAAUCCGAUACGUCGGAUCUUUAAUGGACGGUUGAUAGAGGGGGUUCAGUUACGAAGAGACUUGGCUUCAUGAAGUCACUGAAGCUGCGUCCCGUCCAUCUAUAUUCUAUACUACUAUUAAAAAAGCAAGCAUGAAUUAUCCUAAAGCCACACAACAAAUUAUACACAGGAUAACCAGAACCUUCCGAUCAAGUCAACUUAGACAUAUCCUACUGUCCAUAUUAUAUCGAUAGUCUGAUAUUGAAAUGAACGUCUCAGAUUGAAUGUUCUGCCGAGCAGACGUCCUGCCGCUCCGCUUCCUUCUACGCGGCCCCGCCCAUUCCCUGAUUUCUCGGAUGGAUUGCAACUAAUCAUGAUUCAUUCCCCGAUUCUUCUUUCUCCAUGCCCCUAAUUCCCUCAAGAAAAAGAAAGAACGGAUCCACCAUCGCUUCUCCCUUCCCCUACCUCCGAAUCUGCCCCGAGUUACCCUGCCUCCGGUGGCCGCCCGCGCUCUUGCAAGCCGCCUACGGCCUCCUCUGCAGGUCAGCCGCGCCCAGCGCACUCCUCCUCCAUUCCCUAUCCCUCUCCUCACUAAUCUCUCUUCUUCUUUCCGUUCCCGAGCUGCAGGACGCCAUGGCCACGGAUUAAAGCUCCGUCGGACUUUCGCUCGCGACUGCCGGCCUUCUUCACGACCAGAUCGACGACGGGGACGACCGGAUCUGCCCCGCCACCUUUCAUUUCUGCCUCGCCUAGCAGCACUGCGCAUCUGCCCCACCUCCCCAGCCAGCGCAGCCGCCCCUCCGUGUCUGAGUCCCUGUGCUGGCCACGCCCACCGCCUGCCCAGCACCGCUCUCCCGUUGCCUUAAACAAUCCAGCUCCACCACUAAUCCAUGCCCCUGCCCCGCGACUGAAGAGGAUCAGGUGACAAAUGUAACAAUUUAUUUGAAUCAAAUGUGAUUUUUCAAUUGUAAAUGUACGAUAGUGCCAAUGUUUAUUCUAUCUGUGUAUCAUCUUCUGUUUACUUCACACGUCUAUUGCACAAUAUCCCAUUUCUGAAUGUUAUGUCUCAAUUUCACAUGCAGUUCAUAUAUUGCAUUGUAAUAACACUUUAUUUCUAACUUAUAAAUCGGAAUGUAACAGGUUCAUUGUAAAUCUGUGACAUUCAUUCUAUAUGAAAUAUGAUAUAUCAGCUUCAGACAAAGAAGUUCAACCUACCACCUUAUUUUCUUGUUAAUGUAUUUUAGUCAAGCUAUCUUAAGUGACUUGUUCCGGCGACGGCGACGGUCAAGAACUAUCCUGGACAAUGUUAAGCAUAGAUAGCAAUGCAUAUUUGCCCUGUUCCACAUGCAUUACAGUUAUGUUGGAUCCUUCUGAAUUUCAUAGAAGCACAAGCUGCUAGCAUAGCGGUGUGCAGGGGGGAGGCCUUGAGCAGACAGGUGACUGCGUCGCUGGGGCAGCGGAUAUGAGGCAUAUCUGCAGGCAGCAGAUGGUAGGCAAGAGGCACAUGGCAGUGUGGCGAGAUGGCCAGUGGCUUGCUGCUGUUGCGAGAGGGCUACCUAGAAGAUGGACAUGAAGAAUAUGGUGCCAGCAAUGGCAAAGGGGAAGGCAGGGAGUGGUAAAGUGAAAGGUAUAUUUCCUUUUGAAUUUCUGUAUUUGUGUACGUUGGCAGGGGAAAACGAUAGUGUGCAACCCUGAUUUUUAUUCCUGUCAGACUUUCAGACAGUGUACACUAGAGUGAUAUUGUGGUCUUUUCAUGCUGUAAAUUGCAGAUUUGACUAGACACAUCGGCUUAAUUUUUAUUAUUAUGAUCGUAGUAGUAUUUUCAUGCUGUAAAUUUCAGGUUUGACAAGAUACUUUGGCUUAGUAUACGAGAUAUAGAUACUCCACAACAUGUGUAUGGUCGCGUAACUCUUGGUUCUCCUAAAUCAGCCUUCGAUCACAUGAAGGUAUACCCUGGUGCAGGGUAUGUACAUAAACUAAGUGCAAACGUGUAAUCUAUAUGUAUUCUUUUCAAUGGUAAUUUGAUAUUUGGCUUUCCAAACUAACCUUGCAAUUUAGUUAGAAACAGUUAAGUUCUUCAGAAAUCCCUUGAAACAUUCUCAAGCAAAAGCAAACGAAGGGCAUACCAGUUCCUUUUUAAUACGAGCCUCAAACUUAUUGUAUUCUUAAAUCUAAAUAUGUUCCCAUUGUUGCAUCAUUUAGCUGUUCUUUAUUACCUCAUCCAGUAAUGUUUCUUUCGUGGUUUCGCUGAAUUAACAAAAUAGUUUUUAUAGCUUAUUUGUGCAGGUAUAUGCUAAGAUUGUGUGGGCAAUAUGUCUCUUUCAUACUGCUUAUUAAAGUUUGAUGGAUUAUGGUUGGAAUGUGAUGCUUAUCUGCUCAUUUUAUUUUCUACAGUUUGUGAUAAGAUCGGAUUUGAGGUGUAUUUAUAACGAUCACAUAAAUGAAAGGCUGCAGGAAGAUUUUGGAAAUGGCAAUGGUGUCAACAAAGACAUGAGACAAGAGGUAAACACUCUUCUAUAUGUUACCCUCUACUAUUUGAUUGUACUGUUGAAAUUGAUUUUGCGACCCAAAUAUGGUGAGUAGAAUUUUACCUUAUAUUUUUUGAUUACAUGUGUUGCACACUGGUCUAUAUGUACCCCUAUCCAUCUGGGCGAAGAGUUCCAACUUUUGAGAACGGACAUUGUGCAAAAGUUUGUUCUUUCAUGCUUGCCAUUCAUCCCCGAACAGUUGUGACAGGAAUUGCAAUACUGUAGAUCUGUACAUACGCGAGUGCUGUAUGACAACUUCAUUAUGAACUAGUCACCUCGAAAUUUGACAAGCAUAUGAGAUAUGUGUAGUAAUUUGUGUAUGCAUUACAGCUUGGACUGACGGCAUCGACUGAAAAAUCGUCCCAACCAUCUUGGAGACAGCCAGGCAGGUGUUGCGAGCUGUGAUGCCUGAGGCACCUGCCGAGAAAAUGGUGUUCGACAUGAUGAUCAAGGAAGCGCAGGGUAUGCUCUUCUAAUUAGUGAAACAUCUGAAAAGGUAAUACCGUAAUAGAUACGUGGCACAUUCCUCUCUCGUAUGUCAAAUAUUCGGUAGAAGUUACUUGUAAAAACAUUGCAUUUAACAUUGCAUUUGCUGGUCUGUAGGUGUCUGAAGAAAGGCUUAUCUCACUUCUGAAGCAAAUCAACACCCACACAAGCAAACAAACCAAAGUGGCGGUAGAGUCACUGCACAUAAGGAAAUUUACUUAGCUUCCAGUAGUGGGUUUAGGCUACCUUCAUUAAAACCCGAUAUGAUCUGAGGUGCAAAUUUUCAGAGUAACAUGCUCAUGUGUAACACCAAACUGUUGCUGACAUGCUAAGUUCAUGAUGGAGGACUGGACAAGACUAUGUCGAUUGAAGAAAACUAGGAUCUGCAACUUAUUUCAAAACAGAACCUAAUGGAGGAUCAAGAAUCUGCAAACUUACUUGUAUUGUUACAGUAUAUGAAAUCAAAAACACUAAUACAAAAAUGCAUCAUUAUUUCUGAAUCAUGAACUUAAGCGUCAGCAAAGCAUUCAGCGAUUCCCAUUAAAUUCAGCAAAAGUACUACUUGAAACAAUAACAUUCAGAUAGAUUAGCAACUUCAGUUCUCACAACCAACGAGCCAACGAAGCGUUGGCAAUCAUCCAGCACAGAGAGGACCAUUCCUACCACUAGUCGGAGAUACAUAAGCAGAGUCAGCGACCACUAACAGAAGAAAACAGCAGCCAACUACAUCUGUCAUAACAAGCGACGCAGCGUCAGU
rnacentral:lncRNA from 1 species